rnacentral:lncRNA from 1 species
CAUAUCAAUCAUUAUAAAUUGUGGAAGCGCUUCAUUAUAAUUAGAAUCAAAGGAGCAUUGAUGACUUACAUUGCGAAGAACGACAUGGGAAGCACUGAGUUGGAGCCAUCGCAGAAUAGGGAGGUUGUGGCUGUUGACAGUGCUAACACGGCCAACUUCUGGGACAAAUAUAUCAGAGCGAGAGGGAUCAGCAAUGUUCUCUUUCAUUCUCAUGGUGCAAAAUGUCUCCUCAACGCCAUUGUAACGUCCUGGUCGGCCUUCUUGCUCUCUCUCUCGUUGUUCCUCUCUCUCUUGUUGAGACCGGGGUGGCCUGACUACCAGAAGCCUACCUUCUACAUUCACAAUGCUGCCUCUGAAGUCAUUUUGGCCUUGAAGCUUCCUAGCCAACUGCUCGUCCACGUUGAAAGCUUCGGCAAGGACUCUUGAGUCUAUUCCGCAGAAAAGAUUGUUGCACGAAACAUGUGGUGGCCGACUUGGACGGCGAGCAAAUUGAUGCUGGCCGCGCUCAUAGUCGCCGCGUGGAAGUUGAGGGAACUCAUCUUCUGUGUUGCCAGCUAGAUAGAAGUUCUGUUAACAAGUUCAAGAAAAACCAUAAAAUGUGAAUUAACGCCUAACAAACACCUGACCAUACAGACACGCGUAGGUAGGCAUAUGUUUUUGAUUCUUACUCUGGGGUUCCUGUCAAGCUGGUUGCCUAUGUUGGCAGUGUCAAGGACAGAAAUAGUAACGACAGGCUCAUUGCCGUCGUUGUAGCACCAGUGGGCUACUCCAGCAGGCAAAGCAAUAACAUCGCCCUUACGGAAAUGACGAAUCUUCUGGUGCUGAUCACGAACUCUGCUGCUGCCACCUGAUUGCUGAGACUCUUGGAGUGUUUCAGCACAUCCCAGGAGCAAGACCCCUGUCAUUCCUCUACCUGUAUAUACACAAAUUAAUCAUCUCAUAAUCCAAAAUUCCAAGCACAUUAACUCACAUAUACAGCUUGAAUAUAUAAUUGCAGCUUUUGAAUAUUUAAUUUUACCCUGGACAAUGUAUAAGAGUUGAGGAGCAUUGCUAUAGGAUGGCAAUAGAAGGCCAUUGGGAUGAAUGGUACGUCUAACAACAGCAACACCAGCGCAUUGGAACUGAUCACGGUUAGGAUUCCACGACUCAACCAAACCAGCUUCGGUCUGAAUACGUUUAUCGGGUUCGAGGGCAUAGAGUUUAUUGAGUUGGCACCCAUUACCCUGCUGAAAUUCACGGCGAGCUAGAGAGCCAUGGAAGAGAACAAGUAGGAAGAAAGAAAGAGAGAGCAGCGAAGAAGGCUGAACCAUAGUGGCAGAGAGGAGGGGAUAGGUGGUUCUGGGAUGGAAGUGGCGAAUGGAAGGGGUUGGUAUUUAUAGAGGAAGAAGGAGAUGCAAAAGAAAGAUGAUCGUAAGGUUUCUUUGGUCACUCUCUUUGAUUUGCAUGGCUACUUCAUCUUAACUUCUUACACCUAAUAAAGUCAGAUAGGGCAGGUGUAUCAAAACUCCAUAGAAGAAUACAAAAGUUUGUGAAUGGGGAAAAAGAAAAAAGAAGAAGACAACAUUGGAUUGCAAAAACCAUUACCACAACACCAAAAAGUGAUCAAGUGUCUAAUAACUAUGGUUGAAAUUUAGCAAUUGAAGUGUCAUGUAGGCAUAACUAUGGUUGAUUUAGUACUUUAACUCGAUGUUUGAUCUUUAACGUCCAAGUAAAGAGAGGUUAGGGACAAAUGUUAGAUUUCUUUUCUUCUUUUGCAUUUAAUAUAACGCUCUUUUGCAUCUCCAUGCCCAAUUGUUUAAAUCACACAUACAGAAGAUGAUCUAUCCAGUGGAGUCAAUGUUUGAUCUAUUUCGUUAUAUUUACAGAUUGAUAAUUUAAUAUACUUUACUUAAACAUAUUUUGUUGUCUAUAAUAUUUACUUAAACAAAUCUCAUACUAUAAUUCAAACUGUAUGAUACUUUACUAGUAAUACUUUAAGAACACAAAUCCUAUAUAUAUACACUUAAAACUCUUAUUAAUUCGAAAAGAUAUACACUUGCUCAAAUAACCCUAGCUAGUUGUAACCAGAGUUACAACCACAUAGAUGCCAACAAAUAAAGACCAGCCUGGAGGGCAAUUAAUGACCAUCGUCCCCUAAAUGUCCCUUCAGGUACCAAGUCUGUCUAAGCUUCAACAUUAAUGGGUGUUAAACCCUCAUAAUCUUUGUUCUGUUUAUAGUAAGUAUCACUGUUGGUCCUUCAUAAGAUUUCUUCAAUCUAACCACCUCCUUAUCCUCUAAUAUUUUUUCUCUUUUUAAAAAAAAUAUGUAGUUCUUUUGUUUAGCUUUGAAUUUAUUUGGUGCAUGGCUUAGAAAGAAAUUAAGAUUAGUAAAUGCAAGUAUUGAUCCUCUGUCAUUUCAGGACUAUGAGAAUUAAUUGACGCAGCGGCAGUAGUUUCUUUUGUUUUUUCGUUGUCUCCCUCUCUUUGUUCUUGUUAAUGCCGAAUUAAUUCACGAGGUUAUUAUAGUUAAAUAUGAUAUCAAGUGAAAAAUAAAAGUAGAAAAACAAAAGCAAAAUGACCAUAGAAGCUGGUAGAUGGAAGAAGAGUCAAGAAAGCAUGGUGAACGCAUCACUUGCAUUCUCUACUACAAAUCCAGUUAUCGGUGACAAUUUUGUUUCUGCCACCAGAAUAAUUGUCACAAAUACAACAUAAUAUGUGACAUUACAUUUUAGGAUUAAGUAUUAUUUAUCGCUGCAGUUUGGUCUAAUACACAAAUUGAUUCUUAUAUUUUUUUAUUAUAUUAAAAUUUAGAACGUUUAAAUCAAAAAAAUUUACCCUAAAAACUUUUUCAGCGCAAAUAUAUAGUUAAAUUAUUUAAAAUACGUAAUCUAAACCCACAUUUAAUAAAUAACUUUUUAUUUUAGCUUAUGUGGCUAAUAGUAGACCCAUUAAAAACAUUAAAAAUAUGAAAAAAAGAAUAUUUAGAUCCAAAUUGAGAUAGUGAUCACGGUUCAAUUAACUGAAUCGUCGGCCAUUUUUAAGAACUUAAUAUAUAUAUCAAUUUUUAAAUUUAUGAACCUUAAAUCUAAAAUAUUAAUAUUGGCUAACCUGUAUUUACAGUACGGUUAACCAGAUUUUUAAUUUUUAAUAAAUAUUAAAUUUUAUAAUUUUUUUAAUAAAUUUUUAAUAUUUUAGCAUCCUUUUUCUUUCCUCAAUUAAUAAAUUAAUAAUAACAACGAUAAUAAUAAUAUAAUUAAUAUACUAUUUUUUUAAAAUUAGACUUAUUUUUUAAUAAGAAUUUUUUACUAAUUAAUAUAUUAAAUAUAUUUAUAUAAAUUAAUACUUCAGUAAUUUAUUAACUAAUUUAUUAAUUAAAUCUAUAUAAGCUAAUAUUAAAUAUAUAAUGGAUACAAGCAUUCCACAUAAUCAAUAAUUAUAAUAAAUAUAAUAAUUCUAUAUAUAUAUAUAUAUAAUUUCAGUGGUUAACUAAAACGUUGGUCUUUUAAUAUAGAGAAUCGAAACUAAAAUUGAAAACUGAAAAUUUCUAAAAUGAAAAAUAAAGUUGAAACGUUGGUUCAGUUAAUUUAUUUUAUCAAUUUAAUUUUUUUUUUUUUAUUCAGACAGAAUUCCUUCGAUUUUUUUUAUAUCACCCCUAGUGGUGAUAUGCCCUCUCUCUAUUUACUGUGUGAGUCGAUAUUUUAACAUUCCUUUUAAAUUAUUAUAUAUAUAUAUAUAUAUAUAUAUAUAUAUAUAUAUAUAUAUAUAUAUAUAUAUAUAUAUAUAUAUAUUAUAUUAAUUUUUGAAAUAAGUUUUGAAAUAAGUUUUAAUAUAUUUAUAAAUUCUAUAAUACAUUGUUAGAAGUUAUAUUAUUGAUAAAAUCAUAAUUCAGUGAUGGUUCAAGUUAAAUAUAUAUAAUAUUAUAUAAAAGAAUAAAAGUAUAAAUAUGUGUAUUANNNACAUAUAUACCUCAAGUUAAAAGUGCUAAACUUUUAUUAAUUUGACUGAAUUUGAUAACUUGAUACAGAAUGGGAUUAUGGUUGUCAUAGAAGCAACUAAUUCUUUUGUAAAUUUUGAAAUGGCAGAGAAAGGAAAAGGAAAAGAAGAAAGAAGAAGAAAAAGUAGGAGAAGGAAGAGAGAUAAAAGAGAAAAGUGGUAUUUUUUGAAAGUAAUUACUAUAUAUCUUUCAUAUUUUUUUUAUAUUACACUACUUACUCCUUAAUAUUUAAGAUUAGAUUUUUUUAUUUUUCUAUUUUAUAAUUUUAUAUUAAAGUCUAUUUUAUCGGAAUUUCUGCUAAAGAAUUGUUAACUAGGUUUAGUUUUAUACUAUUUGUCCACUAUGUUUUUUGUGUAAUAUACAUGCCUCCUUUAUUUUAUUUAUUGUAUUAAUUUUUUUUUUUGUAUUUUAAAAAUCAAUGCAAUUAAAAGACUAAAUUGAUAAAAAAAUAAUUUAAUUUUUAAAUUUUUUAUCAAAGUUAUGAUUUUAGUGUAACAAAAUUAAUAUUAAGGAUAAUAUCUAUUUUAUUUUAAUAAUUUAAAGUUAAAUUAUAUAAUUUUUUAAUAUUUUGAUAAAUAUAAUUAUUUUUAAAACACUUAAAUUUUAUUAGAGUUUAAUUAUGCCAAAAUUAGAGUAAUUAAAGAACACUAGUUAAUUAUUUGUGUACGAACACAACUUGAUUUUUACAUAAAAGUUAGACAAGAGAAUUCUAGUGUAACAAAUAAACUAUAAGGGACAUGUGUAUAUUACAUAAAAGAUCAAGGGGCAAAUGACAAUUGUUUAACAGAAAGUUUGACCAAAAGAAUUUUUAGUAUAAAAUAGAGAGAUGAAAUAUAUAUUUAUUAAAUAUUAAGAGGUAAUUAAUAUGAAAAUUUAUAAAGACAAAUAGUAAUUACAAAUGAAUGAGAAUUGUAUACAUUAAACCACCAUUAGCCACAUCAACACUAUUAAUUUCUCUGUUAUGUUGAGAGGUUUGAAUUGGAGGCUUCUACAAUUUAAGGGUAAAUAUGCUAUUCUCACCAAAUAUUAGCAGCAAAAAUGCACAUUUUCCUCUACUUUUAACUGGUCACUAUAUUAAAUUAAUUUUAUACUAAAAACUUCUUUUGUUAAAAUUUCUAUUAGGAAAUCGUUAAUUAGGUUUGGUUUUAUACUUUUUUUUUUUGUAAUAUACAAAUUGCACAUGUAUUUUAUUUUUACACUAAAAUUUCCUUGUAGUUUGAAAGUCAACGUAAUUAAGGAUCUAAAUUGAUUAAAAAAUAUAAUUUGAUCCUCAAACUUUUUAUCAAAGUUAUAAUUCUACUGAACAAAAUUAAUAAUAAUAAUAAUACUAUCUAUUUUAUUUUAACAAUUUCAAAUUAAAUUAUAUGAAUCUUCAAUAUUUUAAUUAAUAUAAGUACUUUUAAGAUAUUUAAAUUUUACUAAAAUUUAAUUAUGCUAAAGUUAGAAUAAUUAAAGAACACUAAUUAAUUGUUUUCGUACAGACACUAAAAUUAAUUUUUAUAUAAAAAUUAGACAAGAGAAUUUUAGUAUAAGGUCAAUUUGUAUAUUGCACUAAAGAUUAAGGAAAAAAUAGUAUAAAACUAAAUUUAGUUAACGGUUGGUUAACAAAAAUUCUAACCAAAGGGGUGUUACACAUGGUGCCCUUUCCUUAGCUUCCUUAAUCACACAAAUAUUUUCCUAAUCUUAAAAACAAAAGAUCCUAAGACAAUGAAAGAGUCCAAACCCAUCAGUCUCUGCAAUGUGUUUUAUAAAACUGUGUCUAAAGUGAUUACUAAUAGAACCAUGAAAGUACUACCUAGUGUUAUUUCUCAAACUCAAAGUGGCUUUGUGCAGGGGAGAUUGAUUACAUAUAAUAUUCUUAUUGCUUUUGAGUUCUUUCAUCACAUGAAAUGAAAUGCAUGAACAAAGGUAAAAAAAAAGUCAGAUGGCUCUAAAACUUAACACGACUAAAGCAUAUGAUAGGGUUGAAUGAAUUUUACGGAGAAAGUUAUGCAUAAUAUAAGAUUUCUUGUUGCCUUGAUUGAGCUGACCAUGAAGUGCAUUAGAUUUGUUUUUUUUACUGUCAUGAUUAAUGGCUUUUUUCAUGAUUUCUUUAAGCCCUAAGAAGGGAAUAAGACAUGGCGAUCCUCUAUCCUCCUUAUCUAUUUAUAAUGUGUGUUGAGGCUUUUUUAGGAUUGCUUUAUAAUGCUGAGAGGGACGAGAAAACUCAUGGUGCUUGAGUUGCUAGAGUUGCUCUCACCAUAUCUCAUUUAUUUGUUGCAAAUGAUUCAAUAGUCUAUGCUAGAGCAAUUCAAUAGGAAGGGGAAUCCAUUAUGUGAUACAAACCAAACUAGCACAACGAAUCCUACUCUAACAAAGAGUCUUGAUGAUGCAAACCUUACUAGCUCAAGGAAUUCUAAUCCAAUAAGGAGUCCUGACUCAACUGGGAAUCCUAAUCCUGUAAGGAGUCCUGAUAAUAUUAGGAGUUCAAGAAUCCUAAUUCGGAGUUCAAGCAAUAAAAAGAAUCCUAAUUCAACUAGGAGUCAUAGUUCGAUUGAAAUUGCAAGUCAAUGAGCUUAUCGAAGUCAUUUUGGCUAAGGACACAUCAAGACUUAAAAAAUUGGAUUUAAGUUCAAGGCUUGUUAAUCUAAUUCAGUUUAUUGGACUUGAAUGAAUUUAAUUGGCUUAAAAUGACCAAAAGAAGUUGAAUUGGAGCAUAUGACAACUCUGGGCCUAACUUGGCUUAUGUUAUGAGGCCCAUCUAUAUGACUUAUGUAAAUUAGGAUUUUAUGGCUUAUUUUGGGUGGCCACACAUGUAUUUUAACAUAAUUAGAACUUUGUUUAAGUUAUCUCUUUUAGUUAGGAAGGUUAUAUUUAUCCUAGAUUAGAUGUAAAUCCUUAUUAGUGGUUAUAUUUAUUCUAGAUUAGAUAUAAAUCCUUAUUAGUUAAGUAAGAGUUCUAUUCUUACUAAGACUUUGGAUAUGUCUUUAAAGCAUGUCAAAUUCGUAUGCCUUUGGCAGAUUAUAAUUAAUUACAGUUUUGUACUUCCUUUCAAAUCAAAAUUACUUGUAUCUUGUGUACUUAUUGAAUGUAAAACUUACUUAUCAAGGAGUUGAUAUAUCUUUGUGGCGUACUUAGGAUUGGGGUUUAAGGGAUUUAGUUUUCCUUAGGUUCUAAUUUUUUAUUAUCUUUCUAAGAGAUCUCUCUUCUAAUCUUUCUUAGAGGUUAAACCGAAUUGGUUCUUGGAGUUUUUAUGUUAAUAUGUUGGGGGUCUGCAAUUCAAAAGUAUUAGAGGGCAUCUGGUCUGGUGAUAAACUUAGAGAAUUCGGUGGUGGUGUUUAGCAUUAAUGUGAGCAUGGUUAGCAGGCACCAAAUUAGCAAUUGCUUGGGAGUCCAGCUUGUGAGUAAAUUUGAUAAGUAUCUUGGAUUACCUACAGAGCUAGGGAAAGUAAAGAAGCAGAUUUUUGGGAUGCUGUCUGAUCGGGUUUGGAAGAAAUUAUGUAGAUGAAAUUAGAAUGCCUUGUCACGACCCCACCCGUGGGCCCGUGACCGGCACUAGGGAAUGGGUAAAGAGGUAAAAAUUUUGAGAAAGAAAGAUUAAGGUCCCUGGUCGAGCAUUGCUCUCGGGGCGCCAGUCUUAUUGGAUUAAGAGAGCCGAAUGGCUACUAGAUUUCUUAUUUGGAUAUUUAAGUGACCAGACUGGAGGUAAGGUCCCUGGUCGAGCUUUGCUCUCGGGGCGCCAGUCUUAUUGGAUAAGAGAGCCAAAAGGCUAAGGCUGAGAGUUAAGUGACCGGACUGGAGGUAAGGUCCCUGGUCGAGCUUUGCUCUCUAGGCCCCAGUCCUGUUGGAAUGAGAGGUUUGAGAUGUUAGAGUUGAGGUUAGUUGAGACAUAAGUGUUGAAAUAAUCGAGAUUUUAGAGUUGGGAUUAGAGUUCUACUGAAGUACUCUGUCCCGUUGCAUGUGGAAUAAAUUUUGUUUAAGCAUGGCAUGACACGUAUGGUUCGCGUGAUUUACUAAUUAUUUUAAAAUUAAAUGAAUGUGACAUUGAGAUAUUUGAAACUGUUUUAGAUAUAUGAUUUUAACUCACUCUCGAGACUGACAGUCUCCAUUUAUGUUGUUUUUCAGAUUCGUGACUGUUAGUUCUCUCGCGACUCUUAUUCAGUAACCCGACUCCUUCAUCAUCGGGUGAAGUAUUUGAUUUGGUAUGUAAAAUGGUAAAUCUUAGAUUCUCCGCAGUAGUAAAUAGUAGAUGUAUCAGUUGUAAAUUUUCUGAGCUUCGGGUCUCGCCUAGUUUUUCUGGUAGACCGAAGUAAUUUUGUAAAGUGUAACUAUUAAGAUAAAUUGUGACUUUAAUAAUAUUAAUUUGAGAUGAGAUUUGUUUAAAUCAGUGAGUGUCAGGCUUACUACGGGUUUCGGUGGCCUUAAGCCUACCCAUUCCCUAGUGCCGGUCACGGGCCCACGGGUGGGGUCGUGACAAAGUUGGUAUCAGAGCUUAGGUUUAGAUUUCCUUCGACCUAAGUUAAGAUUUUUCUUGGUACUGCGGAGUUAGGAUCAUGUCUGUCUUGUUGUUUUCAUUGACUCCAGUGUUUCAGCCUUCACUGUUAGAGAGUCAGUCUUUCCUUUCUUGUAAGCUUGUCUUUGGUGCUGUGCUGAGAAUGAGCUUGUAGCGAUGGGAAGAUCCAGAGCGCGAUAGACUCGUGCUGUUUCUUCAAGUGAUUAGUGCAGUCCGCCUUUAGAAGAUUUGAUUGUUGUUUCGAUGGUGGGCACCGCAGUCAGUUUUAGUGUAGAGCGUGGUUGCAAUCGUGUCAUGGAUUGUCUCGUCAUUGCAUCAGGCAUCGUCUUAUUGAGUAGCGCCGAAAGUAGUGCCUGGGAAGUCGAGUAGAUGUCAGAGCUCUAUGGUUGAGUUUUGGUGAUUGUAAGAAGCUUAAGAAAGGUAGCAGGAGUAUUUUCGGACGCUCAUAAUCCAGAGAAACUUAAGCGAACAUUAUCUAUUUUUCUAAGUAGAACAAGUGUUUUAAAAUACAAUAUUGCGCCCAGUCCCGUAAGAAUGCAUAUGGCAUUUCACUGUUAGGCAUACAUAAAUUCAUUUUAGGACAUGCAUCAUACAUUGUGCAUUGCAACCCUUGGUGAUAGGGGGCAUCAUCACCCUGGCGCGCGAUAUUGUAGAAUUUUAUAUAAAGAAAAAUGGCUAGAGAUUUUACGAUUUUGUAAAAGUAUUUUUCAAGAUAAUAAAGUUUUUAUCAGUGAUGAUUAUAAAGUAAAUAAAUAAGUAAAUUUUUUCAAAGUAAAUAGUGUUAGCUUGAGAAUUCUCUGGAUGACGAGUUGAGUUGCUGAGAGAGUAAGUCUGUGGAGCUGUAGGCCCCAUGUUAGAUUAUAAGGGAGGCUUUUGGAUUUCAGUCAAGGAGGAAUCUUGUGUCAGGAUGGCAUGGGUUAUGUCGGUUGAUGCGAUCAGAUGGAUGUUAUGUCAUAAGUGAUGUGACUCGGUAAGAAAAUAAGGUUAUGGAGACCCUUGGUUUUGUCGGCAGGUUGGUGAGGUGGCAUGUAAGUUGGACUUGCCGCCAAGUAUUAGUAAUGUUCUCUGAGGUCAAAUCCAGUUGUUUGUAAGUCUGAGUUGAGGAAGUAUAUUUUCGAUCCUUUGCUCGUGUUGGAUCCUCAGUGUGUGAAUUUAAGUGAAGAUUUGGUUUCCGAGAAGUAGUAAGUGAGGAUCGUGGAUUUUCAGGUUCGCCAGUUUUAUUUAAGGGUUUUGUCGAUGAGUCUUGUGGUUUAGUUUAGUUUCUGCCGAGGAAAGUUCUCUAGAAGCCGGGUUGGAGUUGAGAGGUUCCUAAUUAGUUUCAGUCUUAGAGUGUAGCCCCUUUUCUUUUAAAAUUCGAGGUCGAAUUUUUUUUUUUAAGGGGGGGAGAAUGUAACACCCGGAAUUUUUAUAUAUUUAAUAAUGAGUUUUUAUUUAAGUUAAUUUUAGCUUCAUUAUUAUUGGGUUUAAUUUGAAAUGAUUAUAUUUUGGUUAUUCAAAAUUUUUCCAAAUGCAUAUUUAUAUAAGUAAAAUUAUAUAUUGAAAAAUUUUGGAAGAAAUUAUAAGGGAUGUUUUUAUAAAAGAAUUUUGAGAAAAUUGGUAUUAUAAUUGAUUAGUAGUAUUAAAUUUUAAGUUGGAAAUUGAUUAUUUAAUUUAAUUGUGUGUAGGAUUUAAUUGGAAAUUUAUUUUGGAAUAAGGAUUGAAAGUAUAAUGUUAUUUUUAUGGGGUUUUAAUGGAAAUUUGUGAGCUUGGUAUUUUUGUAAAUAAAUAUGUCGGUCAGGGGUAUUUUUGUAAUUGUGUAUUUUCAAUAAUUCGGAUUUGGCCCAAAUUAAAUAGUUAGGGGCUUAAUUGAAAGGCUAAAAAGAAGUUUGGGGGUCAAAUUGGAAUUCUGCAGGAUGAAAUUGUAAGUAAUUAAGAAAGUUGAGGGACGAAAUUGUAAUAAGGAAAAGUUCAAGGGUCAAAUGUCGAUAUUGAAAGGAAUGGAAGUCGGGGAAGGAAGAGAGGAAGAGAGAGAGAGAGAGCCGAAGAAGAAGGAGGAGCUGCGGUGGCGUGCGUCGUCGGAGCGGCUUCGGAAGUGUGCGGGGCUGGCCGGCGAAGCUGCAGGCGUCAGCGGCGGCAGCGGCAGCGGCACCAGCGGGCGACGGGAGCAGCUCUCGCGCUAGGAGGAAGAUGGCCGAAGCUUCUUUGCCGCCGUGCGGGCGUUUCCGGCGUCGGUGGUCGCUGAUUUUGGUGCCGAUCGACUCCUCUCGGCCUCAGCUUUGUUUUGGCGGCAGCGGUGUCGACAGUGGUGGCCGGAAUCAGAGAUUCACGGUGGAGAGAGAAAAUGGUGGCAGCCGGCAUUUUUGGGCUUUUCCGGCGAGCUCCGGCGGAGGAUGGAUGAUCGGAGGAUGUAUCCCGACUCUCCUCAGCUCAAGCUUCGCGAUGGCACUGGUUUCGUGGCGAUCGGGCUUCGUUUGUGAAUCGACGGUCGAGAUCGUCCGCAAAUCUCUCCGGAUGAUCGGGUGUCAGAUCGGAAAAUCGGAAGCAGGGAUCGUCAUCAGCGCGUCGUUGUGAGUCUGAUGGUGUGUUCGGAUCGUCGAUCGGACUCCGGCGGCUGGAGGCGAGUCGACCAAGCGAUCGAACGUCUCGGUAAAUUUCUUUGGCCCGUUAAUUUUAGAAAUCCUUGGUUUAAUUUGUGUCUAUGGUUUAUAUUGUGUACUUGAUGAUAUUUGUGAGUCAUAAAUAUUUGUCUGUCAGUUGGCCUGCCAUAGUCGUGUUUUUGUGCUGUGUGGCGGAGUCGGGAAAUAGUGAAGUUUGGGGACCCGACUCCCGUUGUUUUAAUUGUUGGUUAUUUGGAGUGUUUUUCUGGCAGGUCCUGGACCCGUUUUUACGGGGGGUAAUGUUCGUGUUGUAGAGGAGGUUCUGCCGAAUUUUCGGUAGUUCCCAAGUCGAGAUUCUUAGACAGUUAGUUCUAGGAGUCUAGACCUAGGGUCUAUUGUAAUUGUUUCAUCGUUUUGAUAAAUUAUUUUCCGUGAUUAGAUGAUCUGUCUGUUCGGCUCGCUCCUACCGAGGCACCUAAGCUGAGCUAGGAGGUCGCAAAUCUGUGAGUAAAGUCAUAUAUCGUUUACGCACGUGUCAUGCAUAAAUUUGAUUGCUACUGUGAACNNNNNNNNNNNNNNNNNNNNNNNNNNNNNNNNNNNNNNNNNNNNNNNNNNNNNNNNNNNNNNNNNNNNNNNNNNNNNNNNNNNNNNNNNNNNNNNNNNNNNNNNNNNNNNNNNNNNNNNNNNNNNNNNNNNNNNNNNNNNNNNNNNNNNNNNNNUAUUUGGAUAUUUAAGUGACCAGACUGGAGGUAAGGUCCCUGGUCGAGCUUUGCUCUCGGGGCGCCAGUCUUAUUGGAUAAGAGAGCCAAAAGGCUAAGGCUGAGAGUUAAGUGACCGGACUGGAGGUAAGGUCCCUGGUCGAGCUUUGCUCUCUGGGCCCCAGUCCUGUUGGAAUGAGAGGUUUGAGAUGUUAGAGUUGAGGUUAGUUGAGACAUAAGUGUUGAAAUAAUCGAGAUUUUAGAGUUGGGAUUAGAGUUCUACUGAAGUACUCUGUCCCGUUGCAUGUGGAAUAAAUUUUGUUUAAGCAUGGCAUGACACGUAUGGUUCGCGUGAUUUACUAAUUAUUUUAAAAUUAAAUGAAUGUGACAUUGAGAUAUUUGAAACUGUUUUAGAUAUAUGAUUUUAACUCACUCUCGAGACUGACAGUCUCCAUUUAUGUUGUUUUUCAGAUUCGUGACUGUUAGUUCUCUCGCGACUCUUAUUCAGUAACCCGACUCCUUCAUCAUCGGGUGAAGUAUUUGAUUUGGUAUGUAAAAUGGUAAAUCUUAGAUUCUCCGCAGUAGUAAAUAGUAGAUGUAUCAGUUGUAAAUUUUCUGAGCUUCGGGUCUCGCCUAGUUUUUCUGGUAGACCGAAGUAAUUUUGUAAAGUGUAACUAUUAAGAUAAAUUGUGACUUUAAUAAUAUUAAUUUGAGAUGAGAUUUGUUUAAAUCAGUGAGUGUCAGGCUUACUACGGGUUUCGGUGGCCUUAAGCCUAUCCAUUCCCUAGUGCCGGUCACGGGCCCACGGGUGGGGUCGUGACAUGCCUCAUCAAAAGCUAGCAAAGCAGCGUUGAUAAAAGCUAUGGUGCAUGCGAUGCCUACCUACACUAUCUGGUGCCAAAAACCAUUUGUGACAGAGUACAAGCUUUUAUUGAAAAGGGAUAAGCGACUCCACUAGCUUAGUUUGGAUAAUGUCUACAGCUCUAAGAAACAUGGGGGUCUUGGUUUUAGGAAUUUAGAGUUGUUCAAUAAAGCCUUCCCAUCAAAACAAGGGUGGAGACUCAUGAAAGAUGAAACAUCACUGGUGGCUAGAACUCUGAAGGCGAAACAUUAUCCAAGGUUAGAUUUUCUUAACGCCAGAAAAGGGCCUCGAAGUAGUUUUACUUGGCAAAAUAUUUUUGUUGGCCAAGAUUUGGUAAGACGUGGAACUCAUUUAGAUAGUGGGUAAGCUCACAGCAUUAGAGUUUUUGAGGAUGGAUGGUAAGCAAGAUCUGAUUCUUUUAAAGUAUGGACAUCGAGGAAUGGUAUGGAUGUUGAGCUAAGGGCACAGGACUUAAUGAAUGAGACGUAGAGAGUGGAAUAACACGUUCAUUGACUUAAACUCUGUUCCCCUUCCCCAAGAUGCGUGCAAAUCAAAAAAAUCCAAUUAGCAAAUUCUAUUAAGAGACUUUAAAGUGGCAAGAGAGGUGUGGUUUGCAUCUUGUUUGGGAUUGAAUGUGCAGGGAUUUAUUGAUGCAUCACUAUGUGUUGGUUUGAGUAUAUUUUGAGGCACUUGGACGAGGAGGUGUUUGGGUUUAUUUUGCUUAUUUUUUGGGCUUCGUGGUACCCUAGGAAUGUAUUUAUUUUUUAGCAGAAACCCAUGACCUGUAGCAAAAUUCUCAACUUGAGUUAUAAAGUGCAUGCAGACAUCGCCAUCGCCAUCGCUAAUGGAAGUCAUGAGCAGAGCCGGACAACUGUUUCGCCGAUAUGGACAAGGCCAGUUGGAGAGAGACAUAUUUGGAUGGAGGAAGUGCCCAGAGUGCGUAAAACAUAUUUUGGCUGAUGCCUUUCGUUAACUGAUGCUUUUGUUUUUCUAUCAAAAGAAAAAGACACCUCUUUUCAAAAGAAAAUAUUAUAAGAUGUUAUUUGUUCUUUUAUGUUUUAAUUGUUAAACAAUUUUUUCAUCUUUGAUCUUUCAAUUGUAAGAUCUCAUGUUUGCUUACAGAAAUAUUAUCAGAUUUAUUAUGAAAUUUAUUUUGUUUAUUUUUAUAGCUAGCAAUAAAUAGAUUUAAUUAUUAUUAAAGAAAUUCAAGACUCAUAUAUAUUAUAAAACUAUAUUAAUUUUCCAUUAAUAAUUUUAUUUGUUUUAAGAAGAUAAACCUUAGCAAAUACUUUUUAAUAUGAACAAUUUUUUUUAUUUCUACUUUAAAAAUUAUAAAAGUAAAGUAUUUUGUUAGAAGUAUAUUGGAAUUUUGAUUUUACAUAUAAAAUAAUUAUAAAAAAUAUAAAGACAUUUUUUUUUUUUUUUUGUAAAAGUUCUGAUUAGUGAAAGUGUCUAUAGAAUUAAUUUUCUAGAAUUAGACUUAAUUAUGCUUAGUAAUUCAAAAUCUUAAUAAAAUUAGAAUAAUACCCACCCAAUGCAUGUUUAAUUAUAUAUUUUCAUUAUUAUUUUUUGUUAUGAAUAUUUUUAUAUUAUUUAAUUAUCUAUUCAGAAUAUUAUUUUUGAUUAUAAAUAAUAUAAACAUAUGAUACUAAAUAAAUGUAGAUAAUUAUCUAUAAUUAUUGAUUUCAAUAAUGAUUGAAUCAUUCGUUAAAUAAAAAUUUGUUCAGUUUUUUUUUUGUUUCUUUUACUAAUAAUAUUCAUAUAAAUCUAAAUAACUAGGAAUAUUUUAUAAAAUUGAAAAAAAAAAACUAUUAAAAAUAUAAAUCAAACCAAAUUAAAUAUUUCAAUAUAAUUUGGUUUAAUAUUUAUUGUUUAAAUAAUCUUUCAGAGUUUUUUGGUUGAUUUAGUAUUCUCUAUUUUUAAGUACAUAAUUCAAUAGUAUUAAUUUACUUUACAUGUAUAAAAAUAUAAAUAUUUUAUUUUAUUAAAUUGCAUAAAAAAUAUAAUCAAAAUUAAUUUUUAAUAAAUAUAUUAAAAAUAAUUUAUUUAUUAAUAUAAAAAUUGAAUUCUAUACAUUAACAAAGGCUUUUUAUUUGAGACUAUAAUAUGCUGCAAUAAUUUUGAUAAAAUAUAUGUAAUAUAAAANNNNNNNNNNNNNNNAUGGUCUAAUGAAUAUAAAUAUGAUGAUAAAGAAAAAAGAAUAAUUCUUUAAUUAAUAGAUAAUUAUUUUAUUAUGAAAAUUAAAAAAGUUAAAUAAUCAAUUAAAAUUUAAAAUUAUAAAGAAGAAUUUCAUAAAAAAAGGAUUAUAAAAUAAUGUAAAUCUAUAAAAAAACUUAUUUUACAUAGUAAUACAAAAUUUAAAGGAAUUAUCUAAAGUUGAAGUUACAAAAAGAAUUUAAAAAUUUUAAAAAUAUGAAAUAACAAAAUAUUAUAACUAAGAUGAUAAAUUUAUAAUAAAAUAUUCUCUAAAAUAAUAAAAAUAUGUUAGAAUUUAUUGAUUCUCUAAAAAUUAAAAAAAUUAACUUAAGAGUGAUACAAUAUGCUAUGUAGGAGAAACGAAAGAGGUGAAAUUCUUUUUCCUUUCUAUAGGGACCAGGAGAUUGGAUCUAGCCGUAAGAAGAAUGCUUGGCUGAUAAAUAACUCAUUUUUUGGUUUUCGACCCCCUCAGUCACUACAAACGCCCCUGAUCAGUGCAAUGGGAUGUGUCUAUUUAUCUAUCUCUUGACUCGAAAUGGAAACAGGUUUGAAAAAGGAUCUUAGAGUGUCUAAGGUGGGGCCGGGAGGGUCUGGUCUCUUAACGCCUUCUUUUUUCUUCUCAUUGGAGUUAUUUCAAAAAGACUUACCACGGUAAGGAAGAAGGGGAGAACAAGCACACUUAGAGAGCGCAGUAUAACAAAGAAUUCUAUGCUGCGUUCGAGAAGGAUGAAUCACUCCCGAAAAGGAAUCUAUUGAUUCUCUCCCAAUUGGUUGAACCGUAGGUGCAAUGAUUUACUUCACGGGCGAGGUCUCUGGUUCAAGUCCAGGAUGGCCCAGCUGCGCCAAAGAAAAGAAUAGAAGAAGUAUCUGACUCCUUCGUGCAUGCUCCACUUGGCUCGUGGAUAUAGCUCAGUUAGUAGAGCUCUACUCUUGCAAUUGGGUCGUUGCGAUUACGGGUUAGAUGUCUAAUUGUCCAAGCGGUAAUGAUAGUAUCUUGUACUUGAACUGGUGGCUCACUCUUUCUAAAUAAUGGGAAAGAGGACCAAAACAUGUCACUAAAAGACUCUACUGAGACAAAGAUGGGCUGUCAAGAACGUAGAGGAGGUAAGAUGGGCAGUUAGUCAGAUCUAGUAUGGAUCGUACGGGGACAAUAGAUGGAGUCGGCGGCUCUCCCAAGGUUCCCUCAUCUGGGAUCCUUAGGGAAGAUGAUCAAGUUGGCCCUUGCAAACAACUUGAUGUUUAAGAAUCACCGCCAAUACCUCGGUGUAGGUAAGUCUGGUAUAAUCAUUUGUUCCAUAGUCUAGGGCUAUUUACAACUAGCCAAUUAUGAAUUUUCAGAUGUACGUACUAGUACUAGCAAAUGCAUCAAAGAUGUAGUCAUCGAUUCUCCCGAGAUGCCACAAUUACCGCAAGCAAACAUAUUAAUGACGAAGAACAUAUUUUUGCUAUGCUACUAAUACUUAUACUUACUCUGCUAUUCUACCCAAGUCUGACUGAGGAAGAAUUAGGGGGGUAUAAAACAAAAAAAGAUUCGGUCUGGGGCAUGUGGAAUGAAUCUACCAUCGAUAAAAAAAAGAAUAAAAAAAGAAAACAUUCUAUUUCGACAAAAGAUCCACACCCAAGUUCCAUAGCUUUGGGUCCGCUAUCCCGAUCAUGAUUUUUCUACCUCUAGAAGGAAAGAUCCUUUCCUUUUUGGCCAGUUAUGGGCAAGGAGGGAUUUGAACCCCCUGACAUUGUGGUUCGUAGCCACGUGCUCUAAUCCUCUGAGCUACAGGCCCCACCCCCUCUCCAUUGGAUCUGUUCCCAGGAGUACCCUAACAAAGGAACCUUUCCUUUCCCCAGCCAUUUCGGGUUAAGAAGAUGCGAAAGUGCCUCUCUCUCUCUAUAAGAACGGGGCGUUUCGAGGUAUGAAGUGGGAGAAUGGAAUUUCAUAAUUGGGGUUUUGAAUAAGACAACCUUUUCAUUUUUUUUUCGUAUUGGAAAAGUAAUAAGAAUGAGGGAUGUUAAGCUUUUUAUCAUCCUGGAGUCGAGCUAUUUUUUCGCAUGACCUCCCCUAUAAUAUCUUCACCGCAGUAGAGUUUAACUACCAAGUUCGGGAUGGAUUGGUGUGGUUCCUCUACGCCUAGGACACCAGAAUAUCGAACCAUGAACGAACAAAGAAAUGAGAGAAAAUCAUAUUUGCUAGUGAUUGUAAGGCCCUAAUUCUUGACUAGGGGGGACACCAAAGGCCUCUGCCCUUCCAUUCUUGGAUCAAUAGAAAGGGAGGGCAAAGCUUUUGGCUUUUUCAUGUUGUCAAAGAGUUGAACAAUAAAAAUAGAUGGCGAGUACCUAAUCAAAUUGAUCGGGUCAUGUAGGAACAAUGUUCAAGUCUACCGGUCUGUUAGGAUGGCUCAGCUACAUACAUCACUGCACUUCCGCUUGACACUUAUCAUAAUGAUAAACGGCUGGUCUUGUUGUGACCUUCUUUUGAAUUCUCAAAACUUCUAUCACUCCACCCCUGCAGGGGUAGAGAACCCGUUGCUGUCUCGGCUGUGCUACCGAAGUUUCUAGGGAAGUCAGAAUAGGAGAGCACUCAUCUUGGGGUGGGCUUACUACUUAGAUGUUUUCAACAGUUAUCCACUCCAUACUUGGCUACCCAACGUUUACCGUGGGCAUGAUAACUAGUACACCAGAGGUGCGUCCUUUUCGGUCCUCUUGUACUAGGGAAAGGUCCUCUCAAUGCUCUAACGCCCACACUGGAUAUGGACCGAACUGUCUUACGAUGUUCUGAACCCAGCUCACGUACCGCUUUAAUGGGAGAACAGACCAACCCUUAGAACAUACUACAGCCCCAAAUGGCGGAGAGCUGACAUCAAGGUGCCAAACCUUCGCGUCGAUGUGAACUCUUGGGAAGAUUAGCCUGUUAUCCUUAGAGUAACUUUUAUCCGUUGAGCGAUGCUCUUUCCACUCGGCACUGUCGGAUCAUUAAGGCCAACUUUCGUCUCUGCUCGACGGGUGGGUCUUGCACUCAAGCUCCCUUCUGCCUUUGCACUCGAGGGCCAAUCUCCGUCCGGCCCGAGGAAACCUUUGCACACCUCCGUUAUCUUUUGGAAGGCCUAUGCCCUAUAGAAACUAUCUAUUUGAGAUUGUCCCUUGGCCUGUAGGUUCUGACACAAGGUUAGAAUUCUAGCUCUUCCAGAGUGGUAUCUCACUGAUGGCUCGGACCCCCCCGGAAGGGGGCCUUCUUCGCCUUCCACCUAAGCUACGCAGGAAAGGCUCAAAGCCAGUCACGGGGAACAAUGAAGCUUCAUAGGGUCUUUCUAUCUAAGUGCAGGUAGUCCACAUCUCCAUAAACAUGUCUAUUUCACCGAGCCUCUCUCCAAGGCAGUGCCUAGAUCGUUACGCCUUUCGUGCGGGUCGGAACUUUCUCAACAAGGAAUUUUGCUACAUUAGGGCUGUUAUAGUCACGGUCGCCGUUCACCGGGGCUUCGGUCACCGGCUCCCCUGUCAUCAGGUCACCAACUUCCUUGACCUUCCGGCACUGGGCAGGCGUCAUCCCCAAUACAUGGUCUUACGACUUUGUAGAGACCUGUGUUUAUUAUAAACAGUCACUAGGGCUUGGUCACUGCAACCCCCUUUGUGAGGAGGCACCCCUUCUUCCGAAGUUACGGGGCUAUUUUGCAGAGUUCCUUCAAGAGAGUUGUCUCGUGCCCCUAGGUAUUCUUUACCUACCUACCUGUGUCGAUUUCGGGUACAGGUACCCUUUUAUUGAAGGUCGUAUGAGCUUUUCCUGGUAGUAUGGCAUGGGUUACUUCAACGCUGUAGUGUCUGGUACUCGAACAUUGGCUCGAGGCAUUUUCUCUACCCCUUCUUAUCCUGAAAAAGCAGGGACACCGUGCGUCCUUGAACCGAUUACCAUCUUUCGGCUAACCUAGCCUCCUCCGUCCUCAAGACCAAUAAGGGGUAGUGUAGGAAUAUUCAAUUGUUGUCCAUCGACUACGCCUGACUCACCCACUGUGGACGAACCUUAGGUGAUAUAUAUAUAUAUAUAUAUAUAUAUAUAUAUAUAUAUAUAUAUAUAUUGAACUUAGAAUUAGACUCCUGCUACAUGAAUUAUAAUUAAUAAAUUAAAUUACUAAAUAAAUAAAUUAACGUAAUUAACUAAAAAAUUAAUGAGACUUUACCAAUAAUUAAUUUAAUAAAAAUUAAUAUUGAUAAUUAAUAUAAUAAUAAAUAAUAUUAAUAAUUAAUAUGAUAAUACUGGAAAUCAUUAAAUUCGUCAAUCCCUUUUAUUUUGUUCUUUUAUGAAAAAUUGGCCGGUCGUUGUAUGUGAUAAUUAUACUAUAUUGAUCAUUCCUUAUCUAAUGAUUAUCAAUCCGUGCAUAAAAAAUUAAUUAUGAGUAUAAAAACCUAUUUAUUGAACUUUUAGUUUAAAAUAAUUAAGUCUAAAGAAGAUAAGGAACUUUAUUAUCUUUUAUAAAAAUUCUACUUAUUGAGAGUGUCUAAAAUUAGAUUUAAUUAUAUUAAAUAAUUAAAAAUAGUUAACUUCUAGAAUUAAUUUUAUACUAAUAAAUUAUUAAUUAUUAAUAUUAAGUUAUAAAUAACUAAUUAAUUUUUUAACUAAAGGAUUACUUACUAAGUUAAUCAGUAAAUUUGUCUAUCACUCUUUUUUCAUAUUAGAAGUUCUCUGUAGAGGUCAUCAAUUGUAAUAAUUUUAUAAAUUAUUUCCCUUUUUCUUACUGAAGAAAUAUAUUAUUGGUUUAAAAAAAUUAACUUUUUAUGACUUAUGAAGUAUAAUAUUUAUGAUGUAUAAAAUUUUGGAUUCAUCUACUUAUUGGUAAGUAGAAUUAAUUUUAUUAUUUUGAUACUUUCUAGUAAUAAAACAUUCCUUCUCCAAUAAAAUUCAUUCUUUCUUAAUUCUUAUUUUAAUAAAAAUUCAUGUUUCUUACUUUUCUAUAUUAAAUUUUUAACUUAUUCUUCAAUUAUGAUUUUAAUAUGACUGUUAAUAUUAAAAUGCAUAAAUCAAUUAAGGUAAUUUAGUCAUUUACUAAUUUAAUUUAGUAAUUAAUGAUUUAUUUAGUAUAAAUUUAAUUCUAGAAAACUAUAUUAGAAUUUUUAAUUAAAUAAUCUUUAUAAUUCUUUGUAAAACAUGAAAAUUGCAAGUUUCAAGACUUUAAAUUUGAGAACUUAAAUUUUCAUGAAAGAAAGAGAAAACAUAAUUCAAAUAACAAAGUAUUUUUUUCUCUUUGAUUUUUCAUUUGAAAUUAAUAUUUUCAUUGAAAACGACAACAAAUUAGAAAGUAUGUAAUAGUUCAAAAAUAAUUAUAAAUGAGAGGCUCCAAAUAAUCUAAAGUCAAAACAGCCAGUAUUUUGAAUAAGAAACUCUCUAAGGAAAAAUAAUUUGGCAAUUACAUCUUUAUUGAUGGGAUGCUUAAUAAUUGGAUAAAAUUUAACUGAGUAAUUUGGAAUUUGGAAUUAUGGAUUUUCUUUUGUAUAAAUUAAUCAUCUUCACAAGUUGGAUUAUAAAUAAAUUUCAAGUAUAUAGUCUCUAUUAUAAGCAUGUUUUAUAUUGCUAAUUUUAAAUUUUAAUUUAUAUACUAUAAAGCCUUUUUGAAAACUUUAAUAUUGUUACAAAUACUUUCAAUUUGAUUCUAUUAAAAUGUAAUAUAUGAUAUUAAUAUUAUUAUUGACUUUUUAUACUCAUAAAAAUUUUAAAUUUAUAUUAAAUUAUUAUAAUUACAUCAUAUGUAUGGCUAUUUUUUUAGCUAAACGCAGGUAAAAAGAUAUUAGUAAUAUUAAAACUGAAAGUUAGUUUUAUGAUAAAAAAAUUAAAUUUUUCUCUUUAAAAAUUAAAUUAAAAAGAUACUUUUUUCUCUUUCAUUGUAACUAUCUCUAUGGACUCUAAGGAAAUUAAAAUGUCGAUUUUACUCUUAAUCUAAUGUUAAUCGUUUUUGUUUGAAAUAUUAGUUAUAAAUAUAAAUCAAAGUAGAAAGAAUUAUAAAAAUUAUUUAAUAAUUAAAAAUUUUAAUAGAGUUGAAUUUUUAAAAUUAGAUUUAUACUAAAUGAAUUAUUAAUUAUUAAGUUAAAAUAAUAAAUAACUAAAUAAUUUUAAUUAACUAAAAGAUAAGUAAGGGUAAUGACUAACUUUGCCUAUCCCACUUAUUAGCUUUUUCUUUUUUUUUUUUUUUUUUUUUUUAUAUGUACGUUAUGAUAAGUAGAAAGUAUCUUUUUCUGCCAAUCAACUUUUAUGAGUUUACUUUUACAUUUUCUUAAUUCAAAUUUUAAACAAUGGAUCUAUUUAAAAUUUUUUAGUGUUUACUCAGAAUAUCUAUAAUCAAGCAAGAAUGCAGUAAACGGUAAACUCUUCUUAAUAUUGUAUAAUUAUAAGAAUUUGAACUCAUAAACUUUAAUAUCUAUAUUCCAGCAAGGAUGUAGUAAAUGGUAAACUCCUCUUAGUAUGCCUUAAAAUUAGUCAGUGUACUACUAGAUCAAUACCAUAUUGGUGUCAAUAGUAUCUAAUAAUUAAAACAAUAAUAACACAAUAACUCUUUCUUUUUAACUAUGGAUUUAGCAUGUAAGCAUAUAUUUUAUCUUCCUUUCUGUAUUUUCCUUCUCUUUUCUCUCUCCAGCCUCAAUAUCUUUGAUUUGUUCUUAAAUUAUUCAGGUAAAAGUCAGUUAUAAGGAGAGAUCACGAGUCAACCACUAAGUCUUUGGCACAGUAAAAGAGCUUUACGAAAAUUAGAUAGAGCUGUCAAGUUCAAACCUUUAUUUCUCUUUUUUAUAAUAAUAACUAUAAAGAAAAGAUAUGGGUCCAAGUCGUUCUUUGUAAAUAUAAUGUGGCCUUGAUCAUAUUCCUUCUCAUCUUCCGAGUAAGAAUGGGUCUCAUGUUUGGAGAUCAAUUUGCAAGAAUUGGAAUGUUAUCAAAAGCGGAGUGAGAUGGAUUAUUGGUAAUGACAGAAAGGUUCUCUUUUGGCUAGAUCCUUAGAUGGCUAAUAGUAAACCAUUGUUGUUUUAUGCUACUGGCCCGAUGUUUGAGGAAGUCUUAGAGGCAAGGGUCUAUCACUUUGUUAGCUCCAACGACAAUUGGAUUUGGGCUAAGUUUUCUAAGGUCUUGCCAUCUCAAAUCUUUCUCAAAAUUACAAACGUUAAACCUCCUUGUAAUGAGGAUGGUGAUGAUUUUAUGACUUGGGCAUGGCCUAAGAAUGGAAAGUUCUUUGUUGGGACAGCCUAUAACCAAAUGGUGAGCAGUGAAUGGAAUGAGGAAAAUUUCUCAUAGAGGUUGGCAUGGGAUUAGAAAGGGCCUUUAGAGGAUAAAAGUUUUCAUUUGGCUAGCUUGAACAAGAAUUUGACUGCCAAAGUGAAGCUGGUUAGGAGGUAAAUUAAGGAUGUUCCUAUUUUGACAUUUGUGGCAAUGCUGUAGAGGAUAUUCUCCAUGUGUUGCGGGAUUAUUUGGUAGCUAGACAAAUCUAGAAAAGCUUAAUUCCUCCGGAUAGCCAGAUGGCUUUCUUCUUACUAGACCUGCAUAAUUAAAUGUUAAGUGAUACAGGCAUUCAAGGAGAGAUAAAUUGGUCUAUCACCUUUAGAGUUGCUCUAUAGAAAUUAUGGAGGUGGAGAAAUGAUGCGCGUUAUCUGUACAUGACAAAAUGCACCGAUCGUAUUAAGUAAUACAAUAAUAAAUAAGAGCAUCGUUCCACUAGGGAUCUAAUUGUGAGUAAUAUCUUCAAUCAUACACUAAUAUUUAGCAAUCAUAAUAUUGUUGGGUUGUAAUAAUAUUUAAUGGUCAAAUAAUCUUGAAAACAAAGAUUAAAACAAUUAGUAAACUUAUCAAGAAUAAAACCAAUUUAGACAGUAAAUCUCCUUAAUAAGUUAAGUAUUUCAUGAAACAAACAAUAGUUAAUUCAAAUCAAGAGUUGAGUUAGCAUUUCAUAAAAUUAGGUUUAAACCUUUCUCAAGUGAUUAAACCCCUAAUUCCUAAGAGGAGGGAGAGGAAUCUCUUCCCAAACUAACUCACUUAGGUCAUGCAUUAAGAUUAAAAAACUAUUCAACCAAAGGAUCUUGUAGAUCUAUCUUUAGUAUCCUAAUCAAUCCUCAAUCCCUAAGAUGUUAUCAAUUUAUAAAAAGUUAUCUCUAAUCACUUUAUGAAAAUAAAUCAUAGUCAAUACGUCGACUUAUCAAUUGAAAUAGAUAAUUAAGCAAUCAAAGGAACAAAACAACUCAUAGAAAAAAUUAAUUGUAUUAACUUUGAAUCAAUCCAUACAAAACAAAUUAGGGUUCAUCAAAACCAAAAUAGCAAGAAAAUUAGUUCCUAAAAAUUACAAUAGAGAAAUAAAGAUUAGGAAAAGAAGAUCUCAAACUAUUCAUGGAAGAGUAGAGACAAAAAUCUUCAAUCUUCAAAAGUAAUGAAUGAAUUAAUGUUCUUUCUUGAGAAAUAACAAUCAAAACCCUAAAAAUGAAAGAAAGAUAAAGUUUCUAAGUAUUUCUCUCUCUAGAAAUGAAAAUAUAACAGAACUUCCUUAAAAAACCCCUAAAGUCCUUUAAAUAGUGUAUUUUUAUGAUUGACAAGGGGACCACACGGGCACCACAAGGUCGUGUGAUGUCCUUAGCUUUUCGAAGCUUGAAUAUAUAUUUCUUUCUGUUCUUUACUCUACGGGCUAUUUUAGGAUAUCAUAAAAAUUGAAUUAAGGCUUACGUUCUUCAUCAAAGUUGUAGCUUUUGAAGAGUAGUUCAUUUUAAGAUUUGCAACACUUCAAUUAAACCUCUUUAGCUCUAGAUAAAGUCCAAAUACUGAGACUGACCCAAACAGAGAUGGAGUGCAUAACAUCUGACUUCAACCUAAGCUUUCUCAUCCUUAGCAACCUAAUAUGGAGUUGAGCUAUUUAUAAGCAUUAUAGCUGAGGAAGUCCUCUACAAAAUUGAUGAAGACCAGUUUUCAAUUCUAAACCUGUAAGAUCACAAAAAACUACACUAAAACUAAUGCGAUUAAAUCUGCGUAAUGCUGAAAUAUCAGUCUGACACGGAAAGCACACGCCCGUGUGGAUCCUUCAUACAAUCUGCCAUUUCUUACAACUCAAAUGAGAAGGCACACGCGUGUGCCUUCCCGUGUCACAUUGAACUUUGGAUAAAUAUGCCUUUUCUUUGCUAGAUUCUCAUACUUUUCAAUUUUAUUUGACUCAUUAACAUGUAUUAUCCUUAAAGUGCCUAAAAGAACUGAAAAUUAAGCUUGAAUAAACAAAUCAAAUUAAAUUGCAGUAAAAAUUAAUAUAAGAUAAAGCUGAAAAGUAAGUACCUUUAGCACUUAUUAAAUUUCCAAACACUUAGCAAUUGCUUGUCCUCAAGCAAAUUGAAUAGAAUCAGAAAUAAAGAAAUAAUAAACUCUUUGUUUAACAAAUAGAUAUUAAAUAAUAUCAAGGUUAAUCAUUCAUAUCAUUAAAGCCUAGAAUCAUUAGCCAAUAAUUAAUCCUUAAACAAAAUACCAACAUCUAGGGGAAUCACAUAAUAGGAAGUAAUGAAAAUUAAAACCUUAACAUCUAAAGUCAGGGAAAUGAGCAUUCUUUGCAAAUAACCCAAAAUUUUAAAGAAAAUAGAGAAAAGAUUUUUUCCCUGAGCACAAAAAAACUUCAUGAACCGCAAUUACUUAUGUCUCUGUUUUUUUUAGAGAUCUAUGCAUAUUCAAAAUUGUCAUUCUUUUGACGCGAAUGUAGAUAUGGAUGAUGCCAACCCCCAGUUACUUAACUAGAGUCACAAAUCUAAAUAACUACUCAUAUUCUCGGGUUUCUUUCAAUUUAUUUCUUUUUAUUUCGAAUGAGAAUAGCGGAAUAGAGCAAAAAACUCUUAGCAUUGUAUUUUGUUUACGUUCAUUUUUUUGACAUUUCGAAAGAAUAAGAGAGUACAAAGGAGUAUUAGAUGUGUCUACUUGAUAAGAUUAAGCGAAAUUUGAAAACUUAAUGCUCAUAAAUAUAACUAAAGUUUCAAGAUAUAAAAAUAACGCGACAUUAUGAAUUAAAAAUCCUAGCAUGGAUACCAAGUUCAAGUCAUAAUUCAAAGUGAAAUCAACUAAAUCGCAAUUCAAUAAAUGACUAACCAAAUUUAUUAUUUUGUACCUAUAAAUUUGAGAUAGAGAAAAUCAUAAUAAGUAAUUAAUUAAACUUAAUAAGCUUAUAGAAAAUUAAUCACAAAUAGGCAAAAGACAACAAAAAUGCUUCCCCCACACUUAAUCGACAUUAUUGUCCCCAAUGUAUUUGUUAUAUAACGUACAAUAAAAUAAAAUAAGGAGGAGACUUAAACCGAAUGAUUGUCGUUUUUUUUUAAUUCAAAAUUCAUUCUAAUUCACAAGUCAUCUGUUUAUCUAUCGCACAUCUAAGAAUAGAAAUAAAUGUUAUAACAUAUAUAGUCAUCCAAUAACAAAAGAAAACAAAAACACUAAAAAUAAAAAAACCAUAAAUAUCCUAAUUAAGUACAAUCAUCUAAAAAUAAAAUAAAAGACAUAGAAACAAAUCAAAAUAAAAGUCCAGCUCAAAUGCUAGAACAAGGUGGAGGUUCAAAUCCUCCAUACCAUCAUCUCCACCAACCUACAUCAAGGAGCUUAAUCAUCACCACCAAAAAUGCAUAUUCUAAAUGAGAUAAGAAUUGCUUAAGCUUCAAAGUUAGUAGGUAUUUAAUAGGAGGCUUCAUUCUUUCUUUGAUGGGCAUCUCAAUAGCUUUUGAUGUUUUCAGUUUUUCUGGUUUCUGCACAAGACACAACUCAAAAGUAUCUUUAGCAAUAAUAGAUAAAAUUAAAUUGACAAUUUCAUGCUCUAUCAUAUCAACACUAGAAUCCAUAUCAUUAAGUGCAAGUGGGUGUUUUAUGCCAUUGGGGGUUUAAAAAGUCAAUUGCUCAUCCCCUACCCUAAGAAUGAGUUUACCAUCAUGAACAUUAAUAUAGUUCUAGCUGUAGCAAGAAAGGAUUUAUCAAGAAUAAGGAAAACAUCAACAUCCUCAUCUAUAUUCAUGAUCAUAAAAUCCACAAGAAGAAUAAACUCUUGAACCUUUACCAAAACAUCUUCAAUGAUAUCCCUAAGGUAUACAACAGAUUUAUCAGCUAGUUGAACACUCAUGAGUGUUGGUUUAGGUUCUCUAAGUCCUAGUUUCUUAGAAAAAUUAUAAGGCAUAACACUAAUGCUAGCCUCCAAGUUAGCAAGUGCAUUUUCAACAUUUAAAUUACUAAGCUUCUUUCGUAAUCGCCUCUCAAAGAUCGCCGAGCUCUUCUCUGAUAGUUGCACCAUUGACACUUCCUUAAGCUUCCUCUUGUUAGAGAGGAGUUCCUUUAAGAACUUAGCAUACUUAGAAAUUUACGAUAGAGCUCCUAUAAAAGGUAUGUUAAUAUGCAACUACUUAAAGAGUUCAAGAAACUUACUAAAUUUUAUAUCCAAUUUGUCCUACAGAAGAUGGGCUGGAAAUGGUACCCUUGGUUUAUACUCCUUCACAAAAGGGGUAGGCUUUGGUGUUACUUCUACUUUAUCUUCUACUUUAUCUUUAACCGCAUCAGAUUGCUUUUCUGCUUACUUUGUUUCAGUUCAUAAUUAUUUUCCAUUUCUGAAAGUAAUGACCUUGAGUUGCUCUCUAGGAUUUGUCUCUAUGUUGCUAGGCAAGCUUCCUUGGGACCUUUCACUCAAAAGCUUUAUAAUCUGCCCCACUUGAUUUUUUAAGUUGUGAAUCGAAUCUUGUUGGUUCCUAAGAGCAGUUUUUGUAUACUGAAACCUUAAUUCAGAAGCUAAGAUAAAUUUCUCCAUCAUCUCCUCUAAAUUACUCCUUCUAGGAGGAGCUUGUUGCUGGUUUUGCUAUUGAAAUCCUGGUGGUGGAGGUCUUUGCUGAUUCUGAUUCCCCCAAGAGAAAUUCAGAUGAUUUCUCCAUCCUAAAUUAUAUUUAUUGCUGUAGGGGUUGUUCUAUUGGUCUGAAGCAUUACCCAUAUAAUAAACAUGCUUUAGCUUAGCAAAAGUAUUGCCAUUUUGGCAAUCUUGACAUAGAUGACCACACCUAUACCAAUCACAAGUCAUAACUUGUGCCUGUCUUCCAGAUGAAGACAUAGUCAAAGCAUCCAUCUUCCUGCUCAUAGCCUUUCACUGUGCAUUUACAGUUACCAUAGGGUCUACCGCAUGGAUUCCACUCCUUUUGACUCGAACCUACUCUCUUGGAUUCUGCCAUUGAUAGUUCGUGACUGCCAUAUCCUCAAUAAGAUCCAUAGCUUGCUCAAGAGUCUUAUUGUUUAGUGAUCUACCUGCUGUAGUAUUAAUAGACUAUUUACUUGCGUAAUUCAGUCCAUUAAAGAAUGUUUGAAUUUGUAGCCAUAAAAGUAAAUCAUGGUGUGGAUGGCUUCUCAGUAAAUCUUUGAAACAUUCUCAACAAUUGUAUAGAGUCUCAUUCUCUUACUGAAGAAACCUUGUUAUGUCAUUCCUUAACUUGGCCAUCUUAGAAGGUGAAAAAUAUCUUUCCAAGAGUUUCUCGGCCAGCUGAUUCCAAGUCGUAAAUAUCCUACUUGGAAAUAACUUCAACCACUUCUUUGGCUUAUCCCUUAAUGAAAAUGGGAAUAGCCUCAACCGAAUAGCACCAUCUAAUACCCUAUUAAUCUUGAAGGUAUCGCAAAUCUCCAGAAAAUCAUUUAAAUGGGUGUUUGGAUUACCAUUUGAAUGAUGUUAGGCUUGAUCUCGAAGUUUUUUACUACAACAUUUGACCUUAUAAUACUCGAUGUGGCCCCAUUAAGAGUUUGGCAUGCAUACUCCUGCAUGAUUCUCUCCCUCGGUGGAGCUGCCAUCCUUAACUAUUCCCCUUCUUAGUUUGGUUCUCCUUCUUGAUUUCGAUUCUGUAACUCUGCUGGCAUUUCGGCUAAAGCUCGUUCUCGUUCUUCUCUUUGUUGCUUCCUUAAAGUUCUUUCCAACUCUAGUUCGUAAGCAAAUAAUUCAGUUGAACUAGCUCGGGUCAUAUACAAAUUCAAGUAUUUACAGAAAAUACAAACAUAACAAAGAUAAAUCAAAUGAAAAAUAAAAAUGCUAAAUUACUAGCUUUUGAAUUACUAAUGAUAUCACAAUAGAAAAUAGGUCCCCGAUAACGGCGCCAAAAAUUUGAUGCGUGCUAUCUGCACAUGGCAAAGUGCACCAAUCGUAUCAAGUAAUAUAAUAAUGAAUGAGAGUAUCGUUCUACUAGUGACCUAAUUAUGAGUAUUACUUUCAAUCAUACACUAAUGUUUAACAAUAAUAAUGUUGUUGAGGUGUAAUAAUAUUUAAAAGUAAAAUAAUCUUUAAAACAAAGAUUAAGACAAUUGGUAAAGCCUAUUUAGGUAAUGAAUCCCCCUAAUAAGUUAAGUAUUUCAUGAAACAAACAACAAUUUCAAAUCAAGAAUUGAGUUAGCAUUCUACAAAAUUAGGUUUAAACCUUUCUCAAGUGAUUAAACUCCUAAUUCAUAAACGGAGGGAGAGAAAAUCCCUUCUCGAACCCACUCACUUAGGUCAUACAUUAAGAUUAAGAAACUAUUGAACCGAAGAAUCUUGUAGAUCUAUCUCUAAUAUAUCAAUUCUCAAUCCCUAAGAUGUGAUCAAUUUAUAAAAAGUUAUCUCUAAUCAGUUUAUGAAAAUAAAUCUCAAUCAAUACAUCGACUUAUCAAUUAAAAUAGAUAAUUUAGCAAUCAAACGAACAAAAUAACUCAUAGAAAAGAUUAAUUUUAUUAACUUUGAAUCAAUUCAUGCAAAAUAAAUUAGGGUUCAUCAAAAUCCAAAUAGUAAGAAAACUAGUUCCUAAACAUGACAAUAGAGAAAUAAAGAUUAGAGAAAAAAGAUCUCAAACUAUUUAUAGAAGAAUAGGGAUGGAAAUCUUCAAUCUCGGAAAGUAAUGAAGGAAUUGAUAUUCUUCCUUCAGAAAUAUUAAUCAAAACCUUAAAAAUGAAAGAAAGAGAAAGUUUAUAAGUGUUUCUUUCUCUAAAAAUAAAAAUAUAACGGAACUUUCUCAACACAACCCUAAAAGUUACUUAAAUAGUGUAUUUUUAUUACACGGGCACCACACAGCCGUGUGACGUCCUUAGCUUUUCGUAACUUGAAUAUGUGUCUCUUUUCAUUCUUUACUUUGCAGACUAUUUUAGGGCAUCGUAAAAAUCUAAUUGAGGCUUACAUUCUUUAUCAAAUUUUAGCUCUUGGAGAUUAGUUCAUUUUAAUAUUUUGAAUCACCUCAAUAAGACCUCUAUAUCUCUAAAUAAGGCCUAAACACUAAGAUUGACCUAAACAAAGACGGACUGCACAACAUCUGAUUUCGAUCCAAGUUUUCUCAUCCUUAGCAACCUAAUAUGGAGUUAAGCCAUUCAUAAGAAUUAUAGCUUAGGAGGUCCUCUAUAAAGUUGAUGAAGACCACUUUUCAAUCCUGGACCUUUAAGAUCACAAAAAAGUAUAUUGAAGCUAAUGAAAUCAAAUAUGCGUAAUGCUGAAAUUCGCCUAUUAAUAUGACACGAGAAGCACACGCCCGUAUGGGCUUCCCAUGUGGACCCUUCAUGCAUUUGCCAUUUCUCACAAUGGAAGACUACAUGCUUGUGUGGCUUCCCGUUUCACACUGAGUUUUGGAUAAAUAUGACUUUCUUUUGCCCGAUUCUCAUACUUUUUAAUUUUAUUUGACUCUUUGAUAUGUAUUAUCCUUAAAGUGCCUAAAACAAUUAAAAAUUAAGCUUGAACAAACAAAUCAAACUCAAUUGAAAGUAAAAUCAAUAUAAAAUAAAGCUAAAUAAUAAGUGCUUUUAGCACUUAUCAAGAAAUGAACUCUUUUUUUAAAAUGCAAGCUUGUGGAAGGAGCGAAUGAUAUCUGACAUUCUUUGUUUUUAGCUGAAAUUGCAAGGACUGCCGAAGGUCAUGGUAGUAGAAGCUAUAACGAGUUGCUUGUCUAUUAGACACCUUCAAAGGGACCCAGUUUAAAGCUCAACACUGAUGUGGCUUUCUGCUCGAAUACUAUGCAUGUGAAUGGGGGUGGGGUUCUGCAGGAUGUUAAGGCUAUGUGGCAGGAAAGCUUUAUCAUGAAUAUAGGGUGUUGCUCAAUUACUAAGGUGCAGGUAUGGGCCUAUUUAAAGGUCUACAUUUUGCUUGGGAGAGAGGAGUUUGAAACCUAGAAUUAGGGCUGAUAGCUUGUGUAUCGUGCAGCUUGUCGAAAGUCAAAAAUUAGGGAUCAACACUCACUGCCAGCUUACGAAGGGUAUUAAGAAUCUUUUGUCUAGGAAUUGGCAAGUCUUAUUAAGGCAUAUCUUCAGAGAGGCCAACAGGGUAGCUAAUUAGCUAAUAAGCUUUGCUUCAACUUUUCCAUUGGUUUUUAUAGGGAUAAUAAUAUAAAUGGUCACUAAACUUUGCAAUUAAUUUUAUUUGGAUUAUAAAAUUUUAAUUUAUUUUAUUUCAACAAUUCAAUAUUAGUUUUAGUUGUAAUUUAGUCACUUUGCCAAUAAAAAAUUGCCAUGUCACAAUUUUCUUACUUAAUUAUAUUUUUCUUAUUAAUUGUUUUUACUACCAUCAAUCUUGUAUUUAAGAAGUGAAUAAUUGAAAUAAAAUUAAGAUUAAAUGACAAACAAAAAAAAAAAGAUUUUAUGAUUAAAAUAAAACGGAAUACAAAGUUGUUUUAAAGAAUCCGCCGGUCAUCUCUUAUUUCAGGAUGUUGUUGACUACUAGUAGAGUUAUCAGUAUUUAUUAGCUUUCUUUAAAUCUCUUUUUUGUAAAAGAAGAAAAAAAGGAGUGCGAGUCAAUUUUUCAGUUCAACAUUUAUUCUCAAGUAGAAGCUCUCUCUUAUUACAAACUGAAGAGAUGAGACCAUCCAUCAAAGUCUUCUUUUAUUUUUCCGGACUUCGCAUUGACCUACACAUCCCCCCGCUCCCCAUAGAAAAAGAUAAAAAAAGGCCAUGUACGCCUUUCUCAGUACAAAGCUUAAGCAUCAUAAUGCCUUCUUCCUGACUGGAACCUUGAGCUACCUAAGGUUGUUUCCUCUCUAGCAAACUUGAUUCUCCUUGCCUCUUCUAUCGACACCCGGAAUGCAUUGGCAAUCACCUCCACUGGCAUGCCGCGAACAGCAGAAGUGCGGCCGGAAAGAUCAGAGGUCAUGGCAUUGUCGUUGGUCUUGAAGGCAACGUAUUCGAAUCUGUCACUCUCUGACCGUUUCACCACCACAAAGUUCUGUGGCACGGUCAGGACCUGUCCUUCUCGUACAUUUCCAUCGAACACACUGUUGCCGUUCUCAUCCACCACCUGAAUCCGUGCUUGACCCUUCACGGCAUAGAUUACGCUGUGGGCAUUUAUAUGCCAGUGGGGUAACCUCACAGCAUCCUGCCAGGAACAUAUCAAUCAUUAUAAGUUGUGGAAGCGCUUCAUUAUAGUUAGAAUCGAAGGAGCAUUGAUGACUUACAUUGCGAAGAACGACAUGCGAAGCACUGAGUUGGAGCCAUCGCAGAAUAGGGAGGUUGUGGCUGUUGACAGUGCUAACACGGCCAACUUCUGGGACAAAUACAUCAGAGCGAGAGGGAUCAGCAAUGUUCUCUUUCAUUCUCAUGGUGCAAAAUGUCUCCUCAACGCCAUUGUAACGUCCUGGUCGGCCUUCUUGCUCUCUCUCUCGUUGUUCCUCUCUCUCCUGUUGAGUCCUGGGUGGCCUAACUACCAGAAGCCUACCUUCUACAUUCACAAUGCUGCCUCUGAAGUCACUUUGGCCUUGAAGUUUCCUAGCCAACUGCUCGUCCACGUUGAAAGCUUCGGCAAGGACUCUUGAGUCUAUUCCGCAGAAAAGAUUGUUGCAAGAAACAUGUGGCGGCUGACUUGGACGGCGAGAAAAUUGAUGCUGGCCGCGCUCAUAGUCGCCGCGUGGAAGUCGUGGGAACACAUCUUCUGUAUUGCCAGCUAGAUAAAAGUCCUGUUAACAAGUUCAAGAAAAACCAUAAAAUGUGAAUUAACGCCUAACAAACACCUGACCGCAUAUACAUGCGUAGGUAGGCAUAUGUUUUUGUUUCUUACUCUGGGGUUCCUAUCAAGCUGGUUGCCUAUGUUGGCAGUGUCAAGCACAGAAAUAGUAACGACAGGCUCAUUGCCGUCAUUGUAGCACCAGUGGGCUACUCCAGCAGGCAAAGCAAUAACAUCGCCCUUACGGAAAUGACGAAUCUUCUGGUGCUGAUCACGAACUCUGCUGCUGCCACCUGAUUGCUGAGACUCUUGGAGUGUUUCAGCACAUCCCGGGAGCAAGACCCCUGUCAUUCCUCUACCUGUAUAUAAACAAAUUAAUCAUCUCAUAAUCCAAAAUUCCAAGCACAUUAACUCACAUAUACCGCUUGGUGUAUAUAAUUUCAGCUUUUGAAUAUAUAAUUUUACCCUGGACAACGUAUAAGAGUUGAGGAGCAUUGCUAUAGGAUGGCAAUAGAAGGCCAUUGGGAUGAAUGGUGCGCCUAACAACAGCAACACCAGCGCAUUGGAACUGAUCACGGUUAGGAUUCCACGACUCAACCAAACCAGCUUCGGUCUGAAUACGUUUAUCGGGUUCGAGGGCAUAGAGUUUAUUGAGUUGGCACUCAUUACCCUGCUGAAAUUCACGGCGAGCUAGAGAGCCAUGGAAGAGAACAAGUAGGAAGAAAGAAAGAGAGAGCAGCGAAGAAGGCUGAACCAUAGUGGCAGAGAGGAGGGGAUAGGUGGUUCUGGGAUGGAAAUGGCGAAUGGAAGGGGUUGGUAUUUAUAGAGGAAGAAGGAGAUGCAAAAGAAAGAUGAUCGUAAGGUUUCUUUGGUCACUCUCUUUGAUUUGCAUGGCUACUUCAUCUUAACUUCUUACACCUAAUAAAGUCAGGCAGGGCAGGUGUAUCAAAACUCCAUAGAAGAAUACAAAAGUUUGUGACUGGGGAAGAAGGAAAAAGAAGAAGACAACAUUGGAUUGCAAAAACCAUUACCAUAACACCAAAAAGUGAUAAAGUGUCUAAUAACUAUGUUUGAUCUAUAACGUCCAAAUAAAGAGAGAUUAGAGACAAAUGUGUUACUUUUUUCUUCUUCUUUUGCAAUUAUAUAUAACACUCUUUUGCAUUUCCAUGCCCAAUUGUUUAAAUCACAAUGAUCUUAUAAAGGGGUGUGAAUAUUUUAUUUAAUUUUAUUUUAAUUAUAAAAUUUUAAUUUAUUUUACUUGGGUCAUUCAAUUUUAAUUCAACUAAUAAAAAAAUAAUUAAAAGAAAUAUGAUAUAUUAACUUUUUAUCAAUAGAAUGACUAAAUUGCAAACAAAAUUCAAAUUAAAUAAUUGAAAUAAAAUAAAGUAAAAUUUUGUAACCAAAAUAAAACUAAAUAAAAAAUUGAAUGACCAUUUAUAUUAUUAUUUUAAUAUUUUAUUAUAUCUAUAUAUUGAUAAUCUAAUAUCCUUUACUUUAAAAUAUUUCGUUGUUUAUAAUAUUUAUCAUAUUAUAAUUCAAACUGAAUGAUUUUUUACUAAUAAAAAUCUUAAGAACACAAAUCUCAUAUUAUUAGUUCAAACUGUAUGAUACUUUACUAGUAAUAUUUGAAGAACACAAAUCUUAUAUAUAUACACAUAAAAUUCUUAUUAAUUUGAAGAGAAAUUAACCCUAGCUAGUUGUAACUAGAGUUACAGCCACAUAUAUGCGAACAAGUCAAGACCAGACUGCAGGGCAAUUAAUGAUCAACGUCCCCUAAAUGUCCCUAAAGGGAAUCUGCUACAAAGUCUGUCUAAUUAAUGGGUACAUAAGGUAUUAUACAUAAGUUUCCACUGUGAAUGUCCUCUUCCUUAAUUGUUACUAAUCCUGAGAAUUUCUUUUUUAAAACAAACACUCUACUCAAUUAAAAAUAUACAGGGGACUUAUAAAAGACUAUGUCUUGUAGAAAUUGUUUUUCAAAUGAAAAUAGAAAAGGCCUUCUACCGCAGCUGACCCACAGGCCAAUAGAAUUUUGGUGAUAUUUUUUUUAAAUUAAAAAAAAAAAAACAGUUUUUUUAUGUUUUAACUUUGAAAAACUUUUAAAGACAAGUUAAAUAUGUUUUCUAUGUUUUUUUUAAUAAAAACUCACUUAUUUUUAAAUAAAAAUAAUAAAUUUUCAUUUCAUUUAUUCUAAAUCUAUCCUAUAUACUUAAAAUAUUAUCUAAAUAUAUAUAAAGUAAAUAUGUUUUAUAAAUUUUAUAAAUUUUCUAUUAAAAUGAAAAUUUUCAUUUUUCUUAAAAGUUAAAAGAUAAAAAUAGAAAGAAAACAUGCGUCUGAAAAUUGGUAACCGCCUACUACUUCUUACAAUAGUGUAAAUAUCAAAACUACCAAGACAAUGGCUUGUCAUAAAGUAAACUAAAUGCAUAGCUAGACACAAGAGCAUUUCAAUGAUAAACAGUAGACCAAAGUCUCAACUUCAUAAGUAAAAUAAUCUGAGUAUCUAUCUCAGAGAUGAAUUUUUCCUUUUAUGUAUGUAGAUCAAAAGAGUGAUAACCACAACAGAGAAAACAUGCCAAAAAUACAGUUUACCUGAGAAUCCAUGACUAAGUGAGCUGCUGGAUAGGGUGAUAAAAGAGCAGUGCACGUGAUAUUGGCACGGCUCAAUCAAAAAGCAGGGCCCAUAACAUUUUGAGCACUGUUUUCUUAUUGAACCGGACCAAUAUCCCGUUUGAUUCACCUGUUCCAUCUGAUGCGUAUAUGGCAAUGACAAAGCUUUUCUAAUCCAUUUUACUCACCAUCUUUCAUUUGGAAACGAGUCUUCUAUCUAAAUAUAUACACAACAUACAAACAAAAAGUUCAAAACAAUAAAUUAAGAAAAAGAUAAAACAUAAGAGAAGAUCAAUACAAAGAGUAGGAAUGAGAACAUAGAUACAUAUAGGCAUGCAAAAAGAACAUGCAAAUACUGAACAGAGAAGGGAGAGCAUAACCCAUGAGGAGAAGAGAAGAGAGAAAGAGACAAAGUUAAAAGAAGUAAAGAAUGAGUGUGUGUCUCAAGAAAGGUAGUAAACCAAAGGCAACAAAGAAACACAGAAAGAAAAUGGGGAGAUGGCAGAUAUAAUAGCAUUAAAUAAGUGAAAUUUAAGGUGUUCAACUACCCAAUAAGGAAGGAAGUUGGGAAUAUUAAUUUUUAAAGAAGGUACAAGAAUCGUGAAAGAGGGUCCGGCGGAUACAAAAUCUGAAAGCUUUUAAUAAAAUUGGAGUAGCAUUUAUAGAUAUGGUGUGGGCAGCAAAGGUGGGACGUUGGAUUCUGUUCAUCCGCAUUUAUUAGUGUUUCAAUUCACAAUACAAAACAUAAGAACUUUUGUUUUGUUCUGGUUUGGUUUUGGUUACCUUAGUUAUUACUGCUGAGUGGGUAUUUCGUAGGUUUUAGCAUAACUACUUAAUGCCAUGCUCUCCUAGUAGCAUUAGAGAAUCUCAAUGGUGUUUUUAAUAUCUUUAUAUUAUAUAUAAUAGAAUAUAAUAAAAAGAAGUAAAUAGUAUACAUUAUGCAUAAUUUAGUAUAUGUUUGAGAUACUUUUGAUAUAUUACUAUUUUAAUUUUGUUCUAAAAAAUUAAAUAUAUAAAUUUUUACUUGAAUAUCUGUUAGUAAAUAUAUAUAUACAUACUCUAAGAAAAGGGCAUAUCAAUUGUAUACCGUGAUCGCGGUCUUUUUAGGAUCCGUCUCAAGUGAUUGUGGCUACGUUACUGUGUCGGAGGUUGUAUCGUUCAUACUAGGCUUGAUUUAAAAGAGCCGUCUGGAAAGAGAUCUCAAGAAAUUUUGGUUUCCCUUGACACAAAGUCUGACCUCCACUAAACUUUAAGGCUUUUGGUUUUCCUAAUCGUAUUAACUUACCUUGGUUGCUACUCAUUUUAUUACGAUGGCAUUUUAUUAUCUUGUUUAGACAUAUAAAGGUGAGAAAUAAAGUACUAGCCUAGCAUACAUCUAUCUAAGUAAGGAAGGCACAUUAGUGCCACUAAUUCUAAGAACGUCCAUUAAUACCUUAAAUUUUAUUUGCUAUGCCAAGGUGACCAAAUAAGAACCGAUUUUAUUAAGCAUAUGGAUGUCGGUUCAUUUUAUCUUUAGUCGAUUAGGUGAGUGAAAUAUGGAAGGCGAGGGGAUUCACAUUGAUGACUUAGUUUAUUUUAGUUAACAUGUGACAUGAUCAAUCAACAUACUUUCAAUUUUUAUUUGGCAUAUGAGGUGAAAUCUAAGCAUACCAAAACAAUUAGAAAAAUAGAUAUAAAGAAUGAGAAGAGAGAAAUUAAUGGGAUACAAAAUAUAUUAGUAAGUAUAAUGGAAAUUUAAAUAACACCUUGAAUAGUCCUAAAGCACACCUUUAAACAAAUAAGUAUAUAAACAAUCAAAUCCAUAUUUAUUCUAAAUCAAGGGUGGUCUUUAUUAGAGGAUUAGGUCAAGCACAAGGAUUCCCAACCUGUACUAUGAAGAAGGUCAAAUUAGUAGAAUGUUUCAAAUAGUGAUAUUAUGAUAAGAAACUAAUAAAAUGAUGACUUUAAUAUUAAAAAGAAAAACUAAAAUAUGGUAAAAAUGUAAAUUUAAUAUAUAAAGUCUAAACUUAGUUAUUUCAAAUAAAAUAGAGGAUAAACAUGUAUAUCUACCCUAGAUACACCAUAAUCAAAUUAUUAAACUAAUCAAGCAAAUGCAACUUAAGAUUUAAUUUACUUAAAAUAAAUAAUCAAGCUUCUAAAGAAAUUAAUUUACUUAAAAUAAAUAAUCAAACUUCUAAGAAAAUUAACUUUAAACAUGUGAUGCUAACACCUAACCCAUAUUAACUUACACAAAAUAUUAACAAUCCUAAUGUACUCGAAUUAUUAUCAUGUUUAGCCAUUUAAGCACGUAUUCACUCAAAAUAAACUCAAAACACACUCAAAUCAUACCGAGUUAAUUUAAAUUAUUUUAGACAAAAACUGAAAACAUUCUAUAAUCAUCAAAUACAUCACUGAAAGGCCUUUGAAACCCUAGAUCUACCAAAAAUGCCAUGAAAAUGGAAGCUCCAAGCUUUUGUAAGCUUACCCAACGUAGGGUAAGCUCCUAGAAACUUGAAGCUUUUUUCAUAAAAUACCACUUUUUAAUUUAAUGCAGACAUAAAAUAUAAUAAAAUAUAGUCAAAUAUAUGUCUAAUACAAGUUUAAUCUAGAGUUUUGACCCUCGGGGUGAUACCUUUUGGGGAAUAAGGCAAAAGUGAUGGCUUUGAGAGUGAAAAAGGUUUUGUAAGCUACUUGAUACCAAAAUGAACCUCAAAUGCCUCCUAGAUUGAACAAAGUAAUCCUGCAAAUAACAAGACCGUGAAAAAUAAAAGGUUGGGUGUGUUUUGGUAUUGAGUGGAGGAAAAGAUAAGAAAGGGUUAAAUAUGGGUAUUUAGGCUAGAAAAAAGGAUGAUUUAAAGGUUGUAAGAUAGAUAUAAGUUGCAGGAAAACUUGAAAAAAAGAGAUUUGCAAUGGAUUCUUUUUGGGUUUUAUUGUCCCUUAGAACCAAGAAGUGGGGGAUUGAAUUGGUGAUUUCAAAUCGCGGAAUUAGAUGAAGUACAAGGUUAAAAAGCCACAUGAGGAUUUUAAGUGAACAAAACAAAGAGUAAAGGUUAAAAGAGAUUGAGACAAGGAAUUUGUAUUGAUUCGGGACAAUCCUCCCUACGUCCACUCCUCAAGAUCACACUUGAAUAUUUCACUAUAAUCAAAUCUUGAUUACAACCUUUGGGUUUCACAAGCUCACUCAGCAACUUGGUAUUUUUUGCAGACUAACACUACACCUCUUCCUUUAGUAUCUUAAUCUCUCAUUAAGUCCAUCUACCAUUGAGUUUUAAUGGAAACUUAAUAAUCAAUCCUUGUAUUUUUAAUGCCUAAGCUCGCAUAACAAUCCUUUUACAAGAGCAUGCAAGCUCUUACCACUUAUACAAGGUUAACUAUACAUAAGAAUUGUAAGAAUAAGUUAGGAAAUGAAUAGUAAUGAAUAUGGUUCUUAGGAAGGUUUUUGAUCAACUAUAAAUGUCUCUUAUAAGGGGUAUUUAUACCCCUAACCACCAAAGAGACAUUACAAAUAGAUCAUGGCCCAAUUCUUUACUUCUAGCUCUAGAUAAUGCAUUAAAUGCACUGUUAGAACACAGUCGCGGUCGCUACACCUUAAUCGCGAACACAACUCAUUUUUUACGAUCGAGAUUCUUGAGUCGCGGACGUGAAACUUAAAGUGGCAACGACUAUAUUCCACAUGGCACUCUGUGAUUCACCGUGUCAGAAGUAACUGUUGGCGUUUUUCUUGAGCUUGCAUAAAUUGUGGUUGCAAAAUCAAGGGCCUAGAAGCAAUUCCUACUGCUUCCUUAGCAUUGAGAUUCUUGGAUACGAUUGACUGGCUUGUGGGCACAAAACCUUCUACCUUUCAAAAUUAGACUUUCGUGGGCACGAUGCAGGGCUCACGAUAACGAAAUCUUUAAUUGCCUUAAUGGUUAAGUUGUUUAUGAAAGUCGCAUUCACGACAUGCUUGUGACGAUCGUGAUUUAGAGAGAAUUUUUUAGUACUUGAUUUGAUUAAGCUUCUUCAAAGAACAUCUAUGCAUAAUACUCAAAGAUAAGAUUAAAUACACUCAAUCUUAAUUGUCAAGAUCAAAAUCAAUGGUGCCUUGAGUCAUGAAAAGGACUUAGGCUAACAAUCUCCCCUUUUCUUAUUUGACAAUUAAGGUUAAAUUUGAUAGAGAAAAAGUGUAAUAUCCGAAAUGUUUCUUUAAUAAUAAUAAUAUUAGUAAUAAUUAAUAAACGAUUUUUUAUUUAAAUUAAUUUUACUUUAUUUUUAUUUGAUUUAAUUGGAAUGAUUUAAAUAGAAUUUUAAUGCUAGACAAAAUAAGGGAGUUACUUUGUAUAUCUAAUUUGUUUGAUUUUCUUUUAAGAAAUUAAUUAAGUAAAUCCUUUGGAAAAUGGAUUAUUUUUUCGGUCAUUCAAUUUUUCCCCAAUAUGAAUAUAUAAAUUAAUUUAUAUAUUUGAAAGUUAUGAAAGAAUUAGUAAAGGAUAUUUUAUAAAAGAAUUAUUGGGCAAAUGGCAUUUUAAUUAGCUAAUGGUAUUAAUUUUAAUUGGAAAAUAUUUAGCAAAUUGAUUAAUUAAAUUAAUUAUGUUAGGAUUAAAUUGGAAAUUUAUUUUGGAAUAAGGAUUAAAAAUAUAAUUUUAUUAAUAUGGGAUUUUAAUGAAAAUUUGUAUGUUUGGUAUUUUUGUAAUUAUAUAUGUCGGCAAGAGUUUUUUGAUAAUUUUACAUUUAAAAGCAAGGGUAAAUAAGUAAUUAUAUAUUUUCAAUAAUUCUAAUUUUGGCCCAAAUUAAAUAGUUAGCGGCUUAAUUGAAAAGCAAAAGAAAAGUUGGAAGAUCAAUCAGAAAUUUUGUAGGACGAAAUUGUUAUAAUUAAAGAAGUUAAGGGACUAAAUGGUAAAGAAGAAAAGUUCAGGGACCAAUAGUCGAUAUGGAGAGGAGAAGAAAAGAAAAGGAAAGAAAGAGAAGAAGAAGAAGAAGAAGAGGAAGAAGAGGAGGAGGACACGACCAUCGGUGGAACAGCGUAGGAGGCUCGUCCGUGGUGUGGCGGCGAUGGCUAAGGGCGCUGCUGUCAUCGGCAAGCCCGUUGGCGUCAGUGGCUGCAGCUAGAAGUGUCGGCAGGCGUCGAAAAUGGCUAGAAAUGGCAGAUUUUUCUUGCCGCCGAUCAUGGAGUUUCCGGUGACCAUUUGCGGCGUUCUUAGGCUCAAAAUGAUCAGCAACUUCUGGGCUUUCUUUUCCGACCAUCGCCAUCCCUUGAGGCUGCCGGAAUUGCAAAAUUCGAUGAGGUGAAAAAAGUAGGGGCAGCCGGAAUUUUGAACUUUUCUGGUGAGCUCCGGUGAGGGAUGGAUGAUCGAAGGGCAUAUCCAGACUCUACUCAGCUCAAGCUUUCUAAUGGCACCGGUUUCGUGGCGAUCGGACUCCGUUUGAAAAUCGAUGGCUGAGAUCGUCCGUAAAUCUCUCUGAAUGAUCGGGGGUCAGAUCGAAAGAUAAGAAGCUGGGAUCGUCAUCAGUGCAUCGUUUCGAGUCCGUUGGUGCGUUCGGAUCGUCAAUCGGACUCCGACGGCUAGAGGCGAGUCGACCAAGCGAUCAAGCGUCUCGGUAAUUCUCUGGCCCGUUGAUUUUAGAAUUUAUUAGUAAAAUUUAUGUGUUUAUUUGUAGUGUCAAUUAUUAGAAAUAUUAUAUGAAGUUUAUUAGUUAAAAUAAAUAGUUUAUCGGACUGUCUGCCAUUAGUCGUGAUUUGUGAUGUAUGGCGGAGUCGGAAAAAAUAGUGAAGUCUUGGGGACCCGACUCCCGUUAAAAUAAAUUGUUGAAAUAUUUGAAGUAUUUUUUGGCAGGUCUUAGACCCAUUAUAUGGGGGGCAAAUAUCAGUAAAUUAGGGGAGGUUCUGCCGAAUAUGGGACGCCAGUAGAACAUGCCACCUGAUGGGUUGCAUCAGGACCGCGUGUGCACCGGUAUGAAUCAGAGACAGAAAAUAAGGGGUAAAGGUUUGUAAAUUUUAAAAGGUAAAUCUAGGACUUACCCUGGUCGAGCAUUACUCUCUAAGCUGAGUAGAAUGAGUUUGCCGGAGUAAAGGUCCUUGGUCGAGUAUUACUUUCUAGGCGUCGGCUUAUUUGGAAACCUAAGUGACCGGACUUGAUUUAAGGACCUUGGUCAAGCUUCGCUCUUUGGGCGCCAGUCUUAUUGGAGUAAAAGAGCCGAAAGGUAAAUACUGAUAGUGAUAAUUAAGUGACCGAACUUGAGUUAAGGACCCUGAUCGAGCUUCGCUCUCUGGGCACCAGUUCUGUUGGAAUGAGAGAGUCGAGAUGUUAGUGUUGCGAUUAGCGUUCUACUGAAGCACUUUGUCUCGUAGUAUGUGAAAGUUAUUUUUAUUUAAGCAUGGCAUGACACAUAUAUUUUUGCAUGACUUAACGUUUAUUUCAAAUUAGAUAAAUGUGUUAUAAAAGUGUUUGUAAUUAUUUUUGGAUAUAUGAUUUUAACUCACUCUCGAGACUGACAUACUCAAUUUCACUAUUUUUCAAGUGAUUGUUAGUCUUCCCGCAGUUCUUAUCUAGCAACCCGACUCAUUCAUCAUGGGGUUGAUGUAAUUGAUUUUAGUAUCUUUAACUUGUAAAAUUUAGAUUCUCCACAGUAGAAAUUUUUAGACUUAUCAGUUCGUAAUUUUAUAUAAGUUCAAGUCUCGCCUAACUAUGCUGGCGAACCGAAUUUAAUUUAUAGUACUCGUUGAUUUAAGAUUAAUUAUGGAAAUAGUGCUUUGGAUUGAGUUCGGAUUUUAAUUUGAUUGAGUUAGUGAAUAAUCAAGCUUACUACGGGAUUUGGUGACCUUAAGCCUACCCAUUCCCUAGUGCCCAUCACGGGCCUACAGAUCGAGUCGUGACAAAAAGAAAAUGAAGAAUUGAACAAGGUCAAAAUGAGAAGAGAUUCUCUCCCCCUUUAUAAAUGAUGUUUUUGAACCUACCCUUUUUUUAGUUACUAUGAGCGUGGCUUUUUUGCAGCCUGCUCCAAACGAUUGCAACUAUGUCACUAUGUCACUAUGUCCAAGGUUGUCUCAUCCGUACUAGGCUCGAUUUAAAAGUGAGACAUUUAGGAAGAGGUCUCAAGGUGUCAUGACAAUCGUGAUGACCACAAAUUAUUGGAGAAGAUUGGGAGUCACCACUCGAGUAAAAUAAUUGGGACAAAUAGAGAGGGGCGAAGGAUAAUGGCUCAGAUUUAUCAUAGACAGCCUAACUUUCUCCCUCCUUAAAUCAUAGAUUUGGUUUCAGAAAGUUAGGUAUGCGCUGGGAAGGGGUUAGGCACCCCAACAUGCCCAGACACAAAGUCCGUGCUCUACUAGACUCUUAAGGCUUUUAGUUUCCCUAAUCAUACUAACCUAGAUUGGUUGCUACCCGUUUUAUUACAAUGAUAUUUUAUUAUCUUAUUUAAUCAUGCAUAAAAUGAGGAAAUUAGAUUACUAACCUAGCAUACAUCUACCUAUAGAGAAGGCACAUUGAUGCUACUAACCUAAGGGAGGUAGGUUGCUACCUUAGAUUUUAUCUAACAUGCCAAGGUGACCAAAUUGAACUAUUUUUAUUUAAACGUAUGGAAGCUAGGUUUAUUUUAUCUUUGAGCAAUUAGGUGAAUGAAAUAUGGAAAGCAGGGAACUCACAUUUAUGAGUUGAUUUAUUUUAGUAAGCAUGUGAAGUGAUUAAUUAACCUAAGUCCAGUUUACCUUUAGUAUAUGAGGUAAGAUCUAAAUAUAUCAAAGUAAUAAAUAAACAAAUAUAAAGAAUGGAAAGGAAGGAAUUAAUGAGGUACAAACUGGAUUAGCAAAAUAUAAUGGGGGAAUAAGUAGCAUCCUUAAUAAACUUAAACCAAUAAUCAAUAAGGCAUCAAAAUAAUCAUAAUAUCCACACAAAAUUAAACUCAUUCCCACCAAAAGGAGUUAAGUCCAUUUGGCUAACCAAACCUGUUCUAGUAAAAUCGAAAGUUAGUGUAGUACUCAUGAAAUAAUUAAAAUAAUAAAAGCAAUACAACCAAACACAUUUACCAUAUGAAUAGUCACUCAAAUAGAAUUAAUCACACCAAAUCUAACCUAAAGAAAGUAAAUGGAAAGCAGAACACCUAAUUAAACAUAAUCAUGCUAUCAAUCAUAUUAUUAACCUAUUUAUCAUCAAUCCUAAAAAAAAUUAAACCAUACAUUUUAUCUUUAACAAUAAUCAACAAAUCCAAACAUAUGACAUAAAACCCUAAACAAUUAAUAAAAUAGAAAAUAAUUAAACUUGUCACUCUAAUCUUUUGCUAAUCAUGCAUUAACAACUAAUUAAACCAAUAUUAAAACCCACCAAACAGAAAAUAAACAUAUUCAUCAAGUAAUCAACAUAAUAUAUAAAAGCAAUUAAGACCCAAAAUUAAUCAAAACUACCAAAAAAGAAGCAUUAAGCUUCUAUGAGCUUACCCUACAUGGGGCCUUAGCCCACGUGGGCUAAGCAAAAGCUCGCGUGGCCUAAGGCUUACCCUACAUGGGGUAAGCUCUUAGAAGUUUGGAGCUUCUGUUUUGGAGAAUUUCUACGCCAAAAAUAAUUUCCAAAUGUAAAAUGGAUGUGAAUAUGAUGAAUUGAACGUAGAUAGGUACACAAGGCAAGUUUAUUACGUAGUUUUCAGCCCUCAGAUUAUAUCUUUGAAGUUAAUCAAGGAAAGGAGUGAUUUUAAGGUGAGAAAGGUCUUACUCGAGUUGUUUAGAAACCAAGAAGCUCUAGAACCUUUUAGAAUAAACGGAUUAAACCUGCAAAACAUAAGAAAUGUGAAUGGUGCAAAGAUUGAGGGUCUUUUGGGUUUAAUUUAAGGAAAAAAAAUGUAAUGAAAUAUGGGUCUUUCAUGAGCUAUCAAUGGAAGCUUAAAGGUUGUUUUAAGGACUUAUGUUGCUGGAAGAUUCAAGAAUGGUGUCUUUGAAGGUAUUAAGUAUAUGGGAUCUAAACUUCUUGGAUAAUGGGUAAAGGUGAUGAAGAUUAUAGGGUUUUAUGUAUUAAGGAGUGUGUAUGGUGAAGUUUCUCUGGGAUUAUUUUGGAUAUGAGAAAGAAGCUCAAAACUUCUAGAGGCUUGGUUGUGGCUAGGGUGAGUGUAGAGAAUGUUUUCUUUAGGGUUUUAGGUAGAAUAUAUAUAUAUAUAUGGAUACUUUUAGGGUUUUUUAGAUGUUAAGUUUUAAAUGGCUUAUUGUUUUAAGGGUUAAGGAUUUGAUUUUAUACUUUUUGUUCUAUUUGUUAUUUUUUCUUUUUUUUUUCAAAAGAAAAAGUUGUCAUAUAAAAGAGAAAUGAAAGCAGCCCAAAAUUACAGUUCUAAAUGGAUAUAUAAUAAUAUAGGUUGGACAGUUCUUAAUUAGGACCUAACUCCGAAUUCUUACAACACUCUAAGGAAGAAUGAAGAUAGAGCUUGGGUUGUAUUAAUGGUUUCUGCAACGUAAUCAAUAUCCAUUAGCAACAUCACCCAAUAGAAAGACAAAGGAAUAAAUAUAUUGCCAACUUGUAGUCCUAAUAAUAAACAAGAGAAAUAGUAUAUUUGUCUAUUUUAAUAUUACAGUCUAGUUUUUCUAAUAAUUUUUUUAAUAAAAAUCUCAGAAAGUAAAAUGGGACGUCUUUGACCAUAUUGUAUCUUCUAUUUGUAUUUGCCUUAAAAUAGCAAGUGAGUUGGUGAUUUCAUAUUAAUAUUAUAAUUAAUUAUCUUAUUUUAACUUAAAAAGUAUUUAUGUACCACGAAAUUCGUUAGAAUAAUUAUGUCUUGGAAGAGUAAGAAACUAGCUAGUUGGCCACAAAUAAUUUCGGCAAGACAAAUACCUCAUCAAGUAUAAAAACAAUACCUAUUAAGUUUUGGAAGAGUGCUUAAUGUGUUAAUGACUAAAUAAAAUCAAUAUAAAUAUAAUUUUUAGAAAAAUAAAUUAAAAAAUUAAUAAUUUAGUUACCUCUUUAAUAAUAAAUUAUAUUGCACGAUGGUUAACUAUGAAUCUCUUUAGUAGUUAGCCCUUUAAGAAUUCAUACCAAAUAAAGUAAAGAAGAUUAAAUUUAGAGCAAUUUGUAUUUAAACUUUGAGAAUGCUAUUUGUAAUUAAACUUAGAGCUGUGAAUUGAAAAUAUGUUAGGUUGGGGCUUUUAAAAUAUCAUUGUUAUAAAUUGAUGACAACUUUGCAAUUUUGAUAGCUUCAGUAGUAUACGCAUAACAGAUAACUGUUGUAAUUUUAAUAUUAAAACUGAAUAAAUAAUCAUAUCUUUAAUAUAAUUUUUGUAUGAAGAACUAUACUUUGGUUCUUAAAAAGUUGAACAGUACUUUGGUAAUUAAUUACUAGUAUUGAUUGUAUUGUAAUUAUAGAAGAACAUGAGUGAUGACUUUACAAUUUUGAUAGCUUCAAUAGUAUAUGCAUAAUAGAUAACUAUUGUAAUUUUAGUAUUAAAAUUGAAUAAAUAAUCAUAUCUUUAAUAUGGUUUUUGUAUGAAGAACUAUACUUUCAUUCUUAAAAACUUGAAUAGUACUUUGGUUAAUUAAUUAUUAGUAUUGAUUGUGUUGUAAUUAUAGAAAAACAUGAGUGACGAUCGAAUGUGGAUAUAUCAAAGGCUAAUAAAUGGCCUUCUUAAUCCUGAGUUUGUCGAUGGCGUGAACAAAUUCUGGUGAUAACUUUGCAAUUUUGAUAACUUCAGUAGUAUAUGCAUAAUAGAUAAUUGUUGUAAUUUUAGUAUUAAAACUAAAUAAAUAGUUAUAUCUUUGAUAUAGUUUUUGUGUGAAGAACUAUACUUUGGUUCUUAAAAACUUGAAUAAUACUUUGGUCAAUCAAUGACUAGUAUUUAUUGUGUUAUAAUUAUAAAAGAACGUGAGUGACAAUCGAAUGUGGAUGUAUGAAAAGCUAAUAAAGCCUUCUCAAUCCUAAGUUUAUCAAUGGUGUUGACAAAUUCAUUGAUUUUGCAUGUACCCACCCGAAAUAGAUGGACAGAGCAAAAAUAAAGUGUCCAUGUCUAUGAAAUAAGUGUUAGAACCGCCAAUACCUAGAUGUUGAGAUUGUGAAAUUACAUCUUCUUAGAUAUGGCUUUUUAUAGGGAUAUUAUGUGUGAAAAAGACAUAGGGAGACAGAGGCAAGGACCACUGGAUAUGUGCAAGAUUUGUGGCCAUCCACGUUACAAAAGAUGGCGUGCCACUAAAAGCAGUCAAAGAAGGAAAAUAGAUGUGCCUUUUAAAAAAAAGUAUUACUUCCCUUUGACAUCGUGUCUUCUUAGAUUAUAUGCUUCAAAAGCAAUUGUUAAUGAAAUGAGGUGGCAUGUAGAGUAUGAGGUACAUGACGAUAUAAUGCAACAUCCUUCAGAUUCUAUUGCUUGGAAGCAUCUUAAUGAUGUUUAUGCUGAUUUCUCUUUUAAAAUCAGAAAUUUUUGUCUGGCCUCUACGCAGAUGGAUUCCAACCUUUUGGACUGCCCAGUUAACAAUACUAAUACUAGCCAGUGAUAGUUACAGUAUAUAAUCUACCCCAUGUAUGUGUAUGAAAGACACAUUGAUAUUUUUAACAUUCCUUAUUCCAAGACCUAGGAAUCCAAAACACAUGAUAGAUGUGUAUAUGUAGCCAUUGAUUAGUGAAUUGAAGCAGUUGUGGGAAUAUGGGGUUCAAGCAUUCGAUAUUACUCAGAAUCAGAACUUUAAAUUACCAGCACUCUUAAUGUGGACAAUCAGCGACUUCCCCACGUAUGCAAUGUUGUUUGGUUGGUCCACCGUUGGCCGUUUAGCUUAUCCAUAUUGCAUAAAGGACUCUAAUGCCUUUGCCCUUAGUAAAAGUGGUAAACAAUCAUAGUUUGACAAUCACAAGAAGUUCAUGGAUACUGAUCAUCCUUUUAGAAGGAACAAGUAUGGAUUUUAAAAGAUCAAACUCGCUAAAAGGUUACACCCCUAGUUAGAUCAGGUUUAGAAAUAUUGGUUAUGCUUGAUGAUAUCGAAAUGAGAAAGGUAACAAAUAUAGAUGCUGAUGCAACUAAUAGUCCACUAAGCAAACCAUAGGGCUGGAAAGAAUAAAGCAUCUUUUGAGAUUUAUCCUAUUGGAGCUCCAAUCUGAUUUAGCAUAAUCUUGAUCUUAUGCAUAUUGAGAAAAAUAACUUUUUUAACAAUGUCUUUAACACGGUCUUGAACAUACUUGGCAAAACAAAGAACACUUUGAAGUCUAGGCAAGAGUUAAAUGAGUAUUGUCGAAGGCCGGAGCUUGGAAAGUCUUCGUCAAUUAGUAAAUACACAAAGGCUUGCUACACACUUAAUAGGGAAGCUAAAUUAGUUUUGUUUGAAUAGCUCAAAAAUUUAAAAUUCCCUGAUGGGUAUGUGUCAAAUAUGGGAAGAUAUGUAGAUAUGAAAGUUGAGGUUGUUUGGCAUGAAAAGCCACAAUUGUCAUGUCUUCAUAUGGAGGUUAAUGCCUAUUGCCUUCCGUGAACUACUGCCAACGAAUAUGUGAAAGACUCUAAUUGCAACAAUCAUUACAAAUGUAGAUAUGUAUAGAAUUGAAGCUGAGAUCCCAAUUACCCUAUGCAAGCUUGAGAGAAUUCUCCCUCCAAGUUUCUUUGAUUCUAUAGAACAUCUCACUGUUCACUUACCAUAUGAGGCUCACAUUGCUGGACCUGUUCAGUUUCGAUGGAUGUAUCCAUUCGAGAGGAAAGAAAGAUUUGUCACUUUAAUCUUUGUGAUAUUCUAAAGUGUCCUUUCAUUUGAUAUUAGCAUGAUAAGUUCAUAGGGAUCUUCAGAAGUACAAGAAAAAUGUGAGAAAUAAGGCACAAGUGGAAAGCUCAAUAUGCAAUGCUUAUUUAGUAAAUGAGGCAUCUACUUUCUACUCGUACUACUUUGAGGAUCAUGUGGAAAAAAAAGUAAGAACUGUGCCUAGCAAUUAUGAAGGUGGGGGUGGAGAUGAUCAACCGAUUUAUGAAGGAAAGCGUUCUAUUUUCAAAUACAAUGGAAUAUCAUUUUUUCGUUUAAGAACAAGAUGUAUGACACCAAAAGAAUACAAAGCUGCUCAGUCAUACAUUUUACUUAAUUGCGAAGUAGAUUCACUCUGAGGUUAGUAUCCUCUUUUAAUAAAAGAAAUAAUAACUAAAAUUACAUUUUUCUUAAUAACGUCAUCUAAUAGUACACUUUAUAGUAUUUACAUGGAUAUAUUACGACAACACAAUCCAAACAUUACAGAUCAAGAAGUGGAUGAAAAACUUGAAAUGGACUUUCCUAUAUGGUUCAAAAGCAUAUGUAAGUCUUCUUCUUCUAGUAGUGUUUAUAGAUAAAGUGAAUGUUUUAUAAUGCAUUCACUGAAUAAAGGUUUAAUCUUUCAACACAUGAUCUAUCAAGUAAUAUUCAUGACAAUCUCCUCAAGGAUCUCGCAAAAGGGCCUUUAACUAUUGUUACGUACCUAGGGUAUUUUGUAAAUGAUUAUAAAUUUCACACAGUAGGGCAAGGUUCAAUGAAUAGUGGGGUAUGCAUCAAAGGCCAAAAUUAUAGUGUUUCCGAGAAUGAUUUCUACAGUUAGCUAAUUGAGGUUGUUCAGAUUGAACAUCCUAAUUGGCCAAUUAAGAGAAUGGUUUUACUUAAGUGUGAAUGGUUGUAUCCAAUAGUUAAUGAGGGUACAAAGGUUCACGACUAAUAUAUAAAUUUUAAAAUCAAUCAUAGAAGAUGAUAUAGAAAAUACGAACCAUUUAUUCUUGCAUUAUAAGCAACUCAGGUGUAUUAUUGCUCGUACUCAUCCACGCGAUGAAACAAAAGUGAUUGGUGGGUCUCAAAGAUUAAACCUAGAGGAAUUGUUGAUAUCCCUGAAAGCUCUUCCCAAAAUAGACAUGCACUUGCACAACCCCCAUUUCAGGAUGAGUUGACCGAAAUCCAUGCUAUUGUAUAAGAAGAUCAAGUUACAGCAUUGGAUGAUUUGACGGGUGCUUUAAUUGAUAUUGCAUAUGAUGAUAUUUCUUCAAGAGAAGAAGUAGAUCUACAAUUAGAAGUUCCCUUUAAAUCAGAGAACGAAUUAGAUAUGGAUAAUAUAAAUAACAUUGACAGUGAAUAAAGGUACUUAUAAUGUUGGUUAUAUGAUUAAGUGGUUGUAUUUUAGUUAUCUAUGUAAUGUCACACUUUUAUAUAUUAAGUCAUUCUAUUUUAUAUUAGUUUACUUAUAAUUUUUUAUGAAUGUUUUAUUCUACAAGAUGUCAACUAGACGACACCAUGCACAUGGCAUCUAGAGCAGUGGACAAGGUCAAGGUUCAGAAGAGAGACCUCCAUCUACUGGUAGUUCAUCUGGAGCGCCUACCAAUUCUACCGCUCCAUCCAUAUCCACAUCUAUGCCUCCACCUACAUCUUUAGCUCCACCCAUGUCUACAGCUCUAUCUUCUAGUGCACCUCCAUUCACUUGAGCGCCAUUGUUGUGUACAUUGGCAGUUACUCGUACUACUUCACACCCAUUUCCAUCCACUCAAGCGCCAUCCUCAACAUCACACCCAUCUUCAUCACAGCUGACUACACCUAUGACUCCUGGUGUUGUGUCAGGCUCGGGUAGCUGCAAUAAUGGUAGUAAGAGGAUAUGUCUAGAGAAUAGAAAAUAAGUAAUGUUUUAUGCUUUAAAUUAUGUUCAUUAUGUUUUUUUUUUCAGUUUAACUAAUGUUAUGUGUGUUUGAUGUAGAUUCGUUGAGUCGCACUACAUGUCUGUCCGUAUAUCCAAUAUAUUUAGGGAGGCUAUCUGUCGUGAGGUUGGAAAGUAUUUUUGACAGUAAAUUUAAAAAAUAAGUAUUUGUUCUAAAAUUUUAUAAUAAUUGAAUAAAAUUAUUAAAAAAAUAUAAAAUUCAGAAUUUAAUUUGUAAUUAGGCGUUAAAAUUAUAAAUUUAGACUAUAUUUUUUUAGAAUGAUGUUAAAAUUAAUUAUUGAAAAUAGAGGGACCUAUUAGUAAAAUUUGAUAAAAUUAAGGGACAUUAUAAUAUCACUAUUUAUAAAAGUACAACUAGUGUUUUAAAUAAAAAUAACAAUUGACUAAUAGAAAAAUCUGACCAGAGGAUGUAAUAGUUAAUUUUAUUAAAUGAGAGGGAUAUUAAAAUUAAUUAUUAAAAACAAAGAAUAUAUUAGUUUAAUAUGUCAAAACUCAUGCACGAUAAAAUAUUUAUCCAACAAAAAUAUAUACAGCAGGUCAUACAAGAGAAUAUCCUAUUCUAUAGGUAUACGGAGAACAUAAUCUAUAUAAACUAAUUUGAAUAAAUUUACAAAGUUAUUCAUUGAUUCUCUAUUGUUAUUUAUUGAUUUGAUAAAGCACAUGAGUUUCCUUAUAAAACAAACACAAACCCUGAACUGCUAAACAUAAACCACAGUAGAUGAUUCUCUUAAUUAUGAUAAAUAAAUAAGAAACAUUAUCUUAACUAUCACUGAUAAAAUAAAGAUAUUAUUCUAAUUAUCAUUACAUAAUUAGUGAUAAUCUUUCUAAAAAGAAAAUAUUUUAUUUUUUAUUAUAUUAUCUACUAACUAAAAUAAAAAAAUAUUUAAGAAUUAUAAAAUAGGUAGAGCCGUGACCGACACUAAGGAAUGGGUAGGCUUAAGGCCACCAAGACCCAUAGUAAGCCUGAUUAGUCGAAAUUUUAGAUAUGCAUAUAUAAACAUACUAUCAAAUCAGUCCAACAUGUCAUUCACAAGUCUCUAUCUAGACAUUAACAACAUUACACAGUUUGUUACAGACCAGAACAAACAUAAUAUAUCAGGUAUACUACUGCAGGGAGUCUAGAACUUUAAAUAAUUAAAAGUUAAAAAUAUAAAAAUAUAAAUUAUUUACAAUAGGUCCGAUGGAGAAGGAAAUCGGAUUGUCAAACGCAGGACGACGGAAAAUCUAAUUGUCACCUGAAUAAUUAAAAUUAUAUCAGUCUCAAGAGUGAGUUAAAAUUAUAUAACCCUGUAACAAUUAUAGUCUCCUCAAUAUAUUAUUUAUUAAAUCAGGAUAACAUGUCAUAUUAUAUUAAAAUACGUGUCAUCCCAUAAUUCAGAAAAAAAUACAAUUGAAUUACUUAUGGGACAAGUACCUCAACAGAAUCCUAACCCUAAUACUAGUAGCCUUUCGGUUCUCUUAUUCCAAUAGAUCUGGCGCCCAGAGAGCAAAGCUCAACCAGGGUACUUAAAUCCAGCCUCAACACUUGAUUUCCAAAUAAGUUAGCGCUCAAAGAGCAACGCUCGACUAAGGACCUUUCUCCGGCAGUCAAACUUUCACAGCCCAGAGAGUUAUACUCGACCAGGGCAAAUCCAAAAGUAACCUAUUACUACCUGUCUCUGAUUAAUAUCGGUUUACACGCGGUCCUGAUGCAACCCAUCAAGUGGCAUUAUUUUACUAUCGUCUCAUCCCAAUGUUACAAUCAUAACAUAUAUAUAAUAAUUAUAAAUAGUAUAAUCAUAAGCAAACAUAAUUUAUUCAAUAACAUAUUAAAAAUUAAAAUUUUGUAGUAUCCGGUGUAGCAAACAUGCAACUUAUGUGUAAUAAUAAUAAUAGUAAUAAAAUAACAAUAAAUAUGAUAUCGAUAAUAAUGAAAAUAAAUUUACUAAUAAUAAUGCUAAUAAUAUUUGUAAUAAUUAUCAAUCAAACAAAAUUACUCAUAGUAACGAUAAUAAUAAUCAUAAUAAUUAUUAAUCAAUUAACAUCCCAUUUAAUUUAGACAUGACAAAGGUAUAGUUGAUUAUAUGACUUUAACUCACAGUUCUGCCGUGCUCUGCAAUCUGCUCCUACGCCUCAGGUAGAGCUGGCUGGAUGGACGGAUUAUAUAUUCACGAAAAUACUCAGUUAAUUAGAUAUACUGAAUUUUGCCUAGGCCUAGACUCCUAGAUUAGACUGCCUAAGAAAAUUCAGACUCGAAAAUUCUUUAAAAAUUCGGUAGAACCUCCUCUAAAAUAUGGAGUUUUAUCCCCCGUAUAACGGAUCUAGAACCUGCUAGAAGCACUUCAAUAUUCUGCAAUUAAUUUACGGGAGUCGGGCCACCAAAACUAUAUAAUUUUUCGUGAGUCCGCAACACACCACAGAUCACAAUUAUCUCACAGACGGUCCGACAUAAUAUUCAUUUCGACAACCAACCCACACAAAAUUUUCGGGUAUUUAAACUAAUUCAACACAAUUACAUCUACCACAAAACAGUACAAUAAUUAAUUAUACUAAUUAAUUUACAAUAUUUAUUUUUAAAUCAUAAUUAAUUAAAUCUAAUUAAAUUAAAUUAUCUAUAAUUGAUAAUUAAUAGCAAUAAUAUUUUUUUAAAAUUAUAAAAUAAUUUUUAAGGUCCAAAUAAAAUUAUACCGAGCUGAAAAUUUUAAAUUCUGCACAUCCAAAAAACACUAGAGUUCGAAAGUUAGUACUGCCAAC